UACAAAGCUCCAGAAUUUCAGUUUUGCAUUGUUUCGAUUCUAUUUCGCGCCGAGCAAUGCUAAAACUCUUCUAACUCACUUGGAACUCAACUUUAACCCUUCUAACCUUGUUGGAAUGUUAAAUGGACUUCGUCCAACUUCUUCUUUCGCACACUUUAGACAAUUCGGCUAAAGUUCGAUAUUCUCUACCGAGUUUCGGUAUAUUACAUUCUCCACCCCUUAAAAUUAGUUUCGUCCUCGAAACUAACUCAAUCGAAAUCUAAAUCCCUACCUCAACUCAAAUCUUCAAAGAGGUGAGUAUGACGCUCUCUCAUUGCGUCCUCGAGCUCCCAAGUAGCUUCCCGAUCAUCAUGGUUGCUCAAACGGACUUUAACAUACGGGAUCUCACGGUUUCGUAACUUUCUCACUUCUCGAGCAAUGAUGUACACCGGAAACUCCUCAUAAGUCAUAUCCUCUUGAAGUUCGGAUGGAUCAUACGAGAGAAUAUGCUCGGGAUCGUGAACGUACUUGCGGAGAUUCGAUACAUGAAAUACAUUAUGAACUCCCGCAAGCUUCGGUGGUAAUGCAAGCAUAUAUGCCACCGCACCGACCCGCUCCAAAAUCUCGAACCGUCCAACAUACAGGGGACUUAGCUUCUCACGGAUUCCAAAACGUUUCACUCCUUGCAUUGGCGACACCUUCAAAAACACGCGGUCUCCAACCGCAAACUCUAUAUCUUUUCUACGCUUGUCGGCAUAACUCUUUUGCCGAGAUUGUGCCGUCGUAAGUCGUUGGCAGGCAAGGCGAACUUUCUCCUCCGCCUCCCACACCACAUAUGGGCCAAGAGCAACUCUCUCGCCCACAUCGUUCCAAUGGAUAGGAGAGCGACACUUCUUUCCAUUAAGGGCCUCGAAUGGCGCCAUCGCGAUACUUUCUUGAUAACUAUUGUUGUACGCGAACUCCGCCAUCGGUAAAUGAUCGCGCCAUCCGCCCUUGUAGUCGAGUACACAUAGCCGAAGCAUAUCCUCAAGAAUUUAUAUUGUUCUCUCAAAUUGACCAUCACUUUGAGGAUGAAAUACCGUACUAAAGUCGAGCCGUGUGCCCAAAGCGUCUUGUAAGCUCUUUCAAAAGUGAGAUGUGAACCCAGGGUCUCGAUCCAAUAUAAUAAACACUGGAACCCCAUGUAGUCUCACAACCUCGUCGAGAUACACUUGAGCCAAUUUGUCUCCGGACCACGUGGUAUGAAUCGGCAAGAAAUGAGCCGACUUCGUCAACCGAUCCACAAUUAUCCAAAUUGCAUCGUGUCCACCUUGAGAUCUAGACAAACCGGUCACGAAAUCCACCGUGAUAUCUUCCCAUUUCCAAACGGGUAUAGAUAAACUUUGCAACUUUUUCGCCGAAAAUCGGCACUCCACUUUCACUUGUUGGCACAUAAGACAUUGCGCCACGAACUCCUCAAUGUUUCUUUUCAUGCUCGGCCACCAAUAAUGCACUUUUAAGUCUUGGUACAUCUUAGUGCCGCCCGAGUGUAUGCUAUAAGGAGAUUGAUGCGCUUCUUACAUAAUCGCCUUUCGGAUACCCUCGUUUUUAGGCAUACACCAACGAUUUCUGAAUCGAAGUGCGCCGUCGGUCCCAAUGCCAAAAUCAUCGGCACUACCAUUUUCAACUUCACCACGCACUUUUUGGAGAUAUUCAUUGGAAGCUUGUAGCUCUUUUAUCCUCUCCAAUAAGAUCGGUUGCACAACCAAAACGGCAAGAGUAGCCGGCACUCCCAAAGCUACUACUUCAAGACCAAGCCGUUGCAUCUCUUUUUGCAAUAACGGUUGGGGUGUAAUUGCCGAAGCCAAAUUUUUUUCCGAUUUUCUACUAAGUGCAUCAGCCACGACAUUUGCUUUUCCGGGGUGGCAUAGAAUAGUGACAUCAUAGUCCUUUAGCAACUCUAACCACCGCCGUUGUCGCAUAUUCAAUUCUUUUUGGGUGAACAAGUAUUUAAGACUCUUAUGAUCCGUGUAGAUCUCACAAUGCUCACCGUACAAAUAAUGCCUCCACAAUUUUAGCGCGAAUAUCACCGCAGCUAGCUCAAGAUCAUGAAUCGGGUAGUUCUUUUCAUAGCCCAUCAAUUGGCGCGAAGUAUAUCCGAUGACUCGCCCAUUUUGCAUCAAGACAUACCCGAGUCCGAUAUAUGAAGCAUCACUGUACACAACAAAGCUCUCCCCCGGCGUCGAUAGAGCAAGCACCGGGGUCGAUGUCAACCUUUCUUCAACUCCUCGAAGCUCCGAUCGCAAUCGUCGCUCCAAACAUACUUCACUUCUUUGUGUGUAAGGCGUGUUAGCGAGUAGUUAUUUUGGCAAACCCCUACAUGAACCGCCGGUAGUAGCCCGUUAGUCCAAGAAAACUGCGGACCUUCGCAACACUCGUCGGGCGAGGCCAAUCUUUAAUUGCCUCAACUUUCUUUGGAUCUACCGAGACUCCAUCGCCCGAUAUCACAUGGCCUAAGAAAGUGACCUCCGAAAGCCAAAAGUCACAUUUCUUCAACUUGGCAUAUAGCUUCUCGUUUCGGAGUAUUUGCAGCACUGUUCUCAAAUGCUCCUAGUGCUCCUCUUCACUCCGCGAAUAGACCAACAUGUCAUCAAUGAAUACCACGACGCACCGGUCCAACAAUGGUCGAAAGACUCGAUUCAUCAAGUCCAUAAAUGCUGCCGGGGCAUUUGUAAGCCCAAACGGCAUUACCAUGAACUCGUAGUGGCCAUACCGCGUACGAUACGCCGUGUUGUGCACAUCCUUCGGCCUGAUUUUCAACUGAUGAUACCAUAAUUGGAGAUCAAUUUUCGAAUACACCUGCAACCCUUGCAACUGAUUGAAUAAAUCAUAAAUCCUUGGCAACGGGUAUUUGUUCUUGAUUGUCAUUUUGUUCAACUGGUGAUAAUCCACGCAGAGUCGAAGUGUGCCAUCCUUUUUCUUUACAAAUAGCACCGGAGCUCCCCACGGUGACACGCUCGGCCUCACAAAGCCUUUAUCGAGCAAGUCUUGCAAUUAAGCUUUUAACUCUACUAGCUCCGCCGGUGCCAUUCUAUACAGAGCCUUCGAAACUGGGGCCGUCCCGGGAACCAAAUCAAUGACGAACUCGAUCUCCCGGUCCGGUGGCAAUCCCGGUAACUCCGCCAGAAACACAUCCGGAAAUUCACACGCUACCCGAAUACUUCCAAGCUCCGGAUGCUCCCUUUGAGCCUCUACCAUUGUCGCCAAAUAGGCCACACAUCCGCCUUUCAUUUUCCUCGCCCUCGCCGCCGUUACGGUCGCCGCGAAGUGCGAGCUUUUACAUACGCGGUAUACUAACUCUUCUUGAUUAGGCUCACGAAAUGUCAUCACCUUGCUUUCACAAUCAAUAACCGCAUAGUACUUGGAGAGCCAAUCGACCCCCAAGAUUACAUCGAAACCCCACAUUUGCUUGAGCACUAGUAAAUCUGCCAGCAUAAUCCAAUCACCUAUUUGAACUGGACAAGCCAAGCACUCCUCAUGAACCUUAAAUGAAUGCUCUAGUGCACUGACCCACCAAUAAUCCGGGUUAUGCAAUACUUCCAUGCCUUGAGUUUUAGCAAAUGAUGUACCAAUGAAUGAAUGAGAUGCACCUGUAUCGAACAAUGCUCAAGCUCUAGUGCCAUUAAUCGAAAUAAUACCUGCCACGACAUCAUCUGGUACGGCAGGCUGCUCCUCCACCUGAGUGGCAAAAAUUCGUCCACUCGAUGCUCUACAUCCCUCCGGCCGACGCGGUGAAGAUGCGCAUCCAGCCGACAUAGCCGGUGGUAACCCCACAAGCUGUCUCGGGGACGAAGGAACCGAUGCCGUCGUCGGCACAGACGACGCCCAUCCCGGGCAUUCCCGAAUAAGAUGUCCUAGUUGUCCGCACUUGAAGCACUUUUCCUCACGCUGCGGGCAAGUCGACGGUCGAUGCUCACCGCCGCAAAUGACACAUCGGGAAGGCUUCCAAUUCCUUGUUUGCUGUCGGGGAUACCGAGGGGGUUUCUUUGCAUUCGGCCGGCCCCCGGCACCACCCGCCGUCCGCUUCUUGCCUUUAUCCCUUUCCUUGUCCAUCGACUCACGCUCUCCAUGAGCAUAGGCGCUAUCGUGCUCCGCCCAUAAUGCUCGAUCUAAGACCUCCGCAAAGGUCGUAAGCUUGAGAAUUUGCACCUUCUCGUAGAUCCUCGGCUGGAGUCCUCGCAAGAACCAAUCAGCCCGGUCCCGAUCAUCACGAACAGCAUCCGGGACACAAUCAAUAAUGUGGGAGAACUCCCGCUCAUACUCUCCCACGGUCCGAUCACCUUGCCUCAACUUGCGAAAUUUAUCUUGCAACUUCUACUUCUCGGUGUCGGGGAAGUAGUUCGCAAACAUUAGUCUUCAUAACUCCUCCCAAAGCAUAGGCGGAAGGUUGGAAGACCGAUCCCGCUUCACACGCUUCCACCGCACUUUCGUCGUCUUCUUCAAACAGUGAGUGGCGAGGUACACCUUGUCCUUCUCCAAGGUGUAAGUAUCCUCGAAGAGCGUCUCAAUAGAGUCGAUCCACAACUUUACCAUCCACGGCUCCACUUUCUCCCCGUCAAAGAUAGGUGGGUUGAACUUCUUAAACAUGACAAGAGCUGCCAACGGAUGCUCCCGCUCUGCCUAUACCGCCGCACUAUCGGGAUUUGAGGAUCCCGAUCCAGCUGCUAUCGCCGUGACUGGAAUAGCCGCUGCGGCAACUCCCUCACCCACAGUCGGCACCACAGCAGGGGGCGCGGGUUGCUCAUCGCCCACAUGAGACGCCACCGCCUGCCGUCACUCUAAGGCCACUUGAAGCCUUUGAAUUUGCUCCCCUUGUCGUUGCACGGACUCCGCUUGUUGCCGCACUACUCCUAUAAGUGCGGACAUUUGCUCCCGAAGCUCCCCGUCGCCACUUGCUCGAGAUUGCUCGAGUGCUGCAUUCGGCCCCUCGGGCAUAGACCUUGUUCGGGGUCGACCAAGAAGCAUUGCUUCCUGAAAUGAAGCAAUUCACAUUAGCUACACAACCACAUUACUGAAUCAAACCCAAUCCGGCGAAAGCACACAAGUGUAUUUAUUUUCAUUCCAAUGCAUUAUGUCGUCGACCGCCGAUCACAACACAAGGAAUCGAGAACAAAUUGUUAGGUCCUAUGUGUUGGCAAGUUUCGUGGGUCGAGUCGGAGUCUUGAAGAAGUUCAGAGCGCAGUAUUGAAGAUCGAAGAAUCCAAGACUUCGAAGAAUCGGAAAGGACGCAAAACACGUAAAACAUGAAUCACGAUGCUUGGGUAAGCUUUAAAUCAUGUUUAUGGUGAUUCAUACUUAAUUAUAGAUUUUAGAAUCAUGUUUUCAAGUUGUAAUUGAUUAGAAAGUUUCUAAGAGCUUGUAAAACCCGAAACAAUGCAUUUUCAGCAAAAAUUGCAUUGUUGUACCGGUACAAGGGUUUUCUGUCCAGGGUACAGCCAUCAACGUUGCGCAGAAAGUUUGAUGGUUGUUCCGGUACAAGGGUUUUCUGUCCAGGGUACAGCCAUCAACGUUUGCGCAGAGAAGUUUGAUGGUUAUUCCGGUACAACCUUCACGUUGUACCGGUACAAGCCUUGUUCCGGAACAAAAGGCAGUCUGUCCAGGGUACAAAAGCUUCGCAGAAAAAUCUUCCGUCAUGGUGUACCCUGAACAGCUUUCCUUGUUCCGGUACAAGGUGCUGAUUUUGGAAAGAAACUUUCUAAUCCUACUCCGUUUUGAUUCUAAAGUCUAUAAAUAAGCUAUAGGGGUUCUCUAACUGAUUAAGCAUCAUAAGAAUACAUGUUUGAGAAACCCUAGAGGCUCGGAUUUCAUUCUAAACCUAUUUUCUACAAAUUAGCCUCUUUAGAUCAAAUCGAGAUAUCGUUUCGCAUUCUCUAUAUGUCGAUUUGAUCUCCGCUUCGCUUGGAGUUCUAUUCCCUGGUUUUCUACGAUACUCCAAAGCGAAGGAUCACCAUAUUCAUGAUAUUCUUCAUGGUGGCGUCGUGGAUUCGGCGUAUUUGACGGCGGUUCGUGGAUUCGGAUCGUGGGCUCGUGGAUUCGAGUGGCGUCGUGGAUUCGGCGUGAUUGAAGCUUCGUGGAUUCGAAGUGGAGGCGUUCGUGGAUUCGGACGUGAGGGCGUGGACAAUCCGGAGGGUGGCGCGAAGAUUCAUAGGAGGUUAAGAGAGGUAGAGUCCGUGGAGUCGGUAAUCACCUUGUAAUCUUUUCUCUUAGUGAAUUAUUUUUUCGCAUGUUGGUCCCGUGGGUUUUUCUCCAAGUUGGAGUUUUCCCACGUAAAUCUCGGUGUGCAUUUUAUUUUCCGCAUUUAUUUUUAUUGCAUCGAGAUUUAUUUUUUUUUGGCCGUUACACCUAUUCACCCCCCCCUCUAGGUGAUAGAUACAAUCUAGAUAGAUCUUUGGGCUCCUCAAAACUUUCACAAAUAACAACUUGGAUUAGCCCCUAACCACAUUAGAGACUGACUAAUAUUAACCCAAUCACAAAGCUUUCGCUAUACUUUGAUUCCACGUCAUUCACGUUUCCUAGAUUCUUAAGAUUUUCCAUUUCUAAGGGUCUCUAGGUCCCUCCUAUACUUUCACUUUUAGUCUCUGAUACCAUUAUAUCUGUCACACCCCGGGACCGAUCCUAUUUGUCCGAUUCGGGCACGUAGAACAAACGCCGAACGACCAUCACCUCUCCUAUCCGCCCAAAGCUCAACAACAAGUACAAAUCAAGUUGAGAAAUUUGCACAUGCGGAAGCAUACAUAAUUGAUUUGCACGAGGGCAAGCAAUAGCCAAAGUGAAAGUACUAAGCUAAACAUUCAUACAAGUAAUAUGAUUAUCAUUUAACCACAUACAUGCAUUCAACAUUUGUAUUCUUUUACAUCUUUUGCAUCAUUUCUUUUUACAUCACAUAUUCCCAAAAUAGAACUCUUUACAUUCUUUCAUUUAAACAUCUAUAAUCAUCAAAUACAAAAGAUGAUAUAUGAAGGAUAUGCAACUACACAAAAUAUAACCAGAACGGGUGGUCACUGUCUAUGGCGCGAUACCUUUACCGCAAUCGUUGGCCAGCUCACUUAGUCCCGGCUCUGUGGAAAAAAGGGGGUGAGAACUACAACAAAGUUCCCAGUGGGUUCGGCUGCCGACCUCGCCGACUUUCUCACUAGGUCUAAAUCAGGCAUAAUAGAAGAAUAGAUAGAUAGUAACCAACUAAACAAAUGCAGCUAAUAUACCUGAACAAUAUAAUCAAUGCUAUGCUCAAAUAGAAUGCUUAUGAUGAAUGCAAGAUCGUAUUUUCAUUAUCCAAUCUCUUGCCUAACCCGUGGGUUUGCCUACAGCUCACCAACUCAUAAUCCAAGUCAUCGGGGAGACUACUACGACACGAUGGGACCGUCCUCUGGGGAACAGCACCAACACAGUGAUGACAACUGCGGAGGUCAUCGCUUGAGAGGGAGCUACCACCCUCAAGCCAGGACUUAUAGGCGAGUAUGAUCCAAUCCUUAACUAUAAAGAAUGCCAAGUUCAAUCCAAUCCUUAACUAUAAGGAUGCAAUGCUCAUAUAACCCUUAACUAUAGGAUUGUUAUGUCAUAAUAUCAUCUAUGUCAUUGCAUUCUUUAACAUUCACUAGUGUCAUUUACACUACAUAUUCUUUUUACCCAUUCUCUUGCCACACUUGUACACUAGCAUUCAAACUCAUUAAUGCCACUCUCUAUAUUUAUGUCAUAAUAUCAUUUAUUUUCAGUGUCACUAAGUCCUUUGCAUUUUCUAGGUUCUUGUCAUCAUUCAUGCAUACAUAGGGUUUUACAAGCUCUCAUUCUUUUACUAUCUUUUCAUAUGCAUUUGUACUCACAACAUGCAAUAACAUAUAGCCACAUGCUCUCAUUUCACCCUACAAUGCAUAAUGAUCAUAUAUAACCUAUACUCAAGAAAUGACACUUUAGACAUAAAAGGAAAUUAAUCUAUUUUGGAAAGCACCACCCACCUUGUAUGGUUGUAAAGGUGCUACGGUUCAAUUCUUGUGACUUUUAGCCGCCUAUUUCUUCGCCUGCAGCAAAAUGAAGCCAAAUUAGGCUUUUUGCUUAUACCUUUACGUAGACUCGUCGGAUCGGCGAACCGAGUCCAUAAACGAGUUAGAAAUAUCUCCAAUUUGAUUUCUACAAGGUCAAUUUGCCUUUAAACCAACCUAGGGCCAAAGUCCAAUUUUGGUGCCCUAACAAUGACAUUUGCCGAAUACCUUGGUUUGAUCUCUAAAACAAGCAAAAGCAAGCUUAAUCAACAUCUAGAAGCUCAUUUAGAACCAUUUAAACCAUUCUUAGGGCCUCUAAACCAAACCCUAAAAAUCCACCAUGAGAGCACUAUGAAGAAAUAUGAAUUUUCUUGUGUUUUUAUGGUCUCUACAAGGUUUCCACUCUUGUAAGAAUAUCAAAACAAAAGAUUUAUGGCAUAAAACCAAGCCCUAACCUAGUUCUUAUAAGAAAUCUUACCUUAGCCCACUAGCUCUCCAAGGUCCACCUUGUAGGAAAGUCCCCAAUCCUUCAAAAGCUCCAAAAUCUCCUCCAAUCUUCUCUAAUCUCCACCAAAACCACCGUAGGAAAGAGUUCCUAGAGAGAGAGGGAGAGAAAUGAAAGAGAAGGGCUCCUUUGGCUGUGAACAAGAGAGGAGGGGUGUUGGCUGCUACAAUUACAAAUAAACCCUCCAAAUAUUCAUAUUGGCAGCAGAUCAAAUUCUGCUGCGAAGGACACUUGGUACUGGUACUAGAUAUUUUGUCACCGGUUACACAAUUGCGCAGAGGCUAACCCGAGAGCUGCUUCUCUCGGUCAGCAGUCUGGUACCGGUACUAUUUGGAUUUGUCACCGGUUUAACAGCUUUGACAGAGGCUAACCUGAGAGCUGCUGCUCCCGGUCAGCCGACUGGAACCGGUACACCCCUGGUGUUAAACCGGUUACAAAGCUCCAGAAUUUCAGUUUUGUAUUGUUUCGAUUCUAUUUCGCGCCGAGUAAUGCUAAACUCUUCUAACUCACUUGAAAUUCAACUUUAACCCUUCCAACCUUGCUGGAAUGUUAAAUGGAUUUCGUCCAACUUCUUCUUUCGCACACUUUAAUCAAUUCGGCUAAAAUUCGAUAUUCUCUACCGAGUUUUGGUAUAUUACAAGGCUAGCAAGAUGAGUCUCACAUCACCUGGUACUUGUAAGUAUGAGCUUGAUGCGGACGUCAGGACUUAAAGAAUGGGGGAUUGUAAGACCCCAGGUAGUCCUAUAUAUAUGAUAUAAUAGAGCUAAACCCUUAACCCGGCUUAAACAUUUUGGGUAAUGGUUAGGCCCAAGAGGUUAAGAGAGUUAAGCGUGCUAGGACGGGAGUAGUCCUAAGAUGGAUGACCCGCUGGGAAGCUGGAGCGUCACAUAAAGAGAUAGUUUUUCGCUUUGUCCACUACUAAAGUAUAAGAUCUUUGUAAACUUGCUCGGUUAUUCAUGCAUUUAAUAUCAGUUUAAUAAAAUUGCAAGUUUUAUAAAGAUGAUCACAAAUUGUUAAUUUUAUAGGAUUGUUACUUAUGUUUUAUUAAAGAUAAUUUGUUUUUAGAAUGUAUGAUUUGCUUACUUUCUUCACUUGAUUAAUUUUAUAUAUUUUUCGUUGAUAGAACUAUUAAAUUUGUUCUAAUGUUUGUCUUUUUCUCUUGUAGGUAGUUAGUAGCAGUUUUGGGCAAAUAACAUUGGUAGCAGAUGAAGUGCAAGCUAUGAAGUUAUGAUACUUUUUUGGCUUCCUUUUGAAAAUAUGAUGAACUGCUAAUUUUAUUGUAACUUUUGGUAAAUGUAUAUAUGCUACAUAUGUUGGUGACCUUCACACAUAUAGUGUAUGGAUAAUUCAGAACUAUAUUUAGGGCGUGUUUGGUUCAAUGAUGGAAUUGGAAUGGAUAAUGGAAUGAGAAUGAAUUGGAAUGGUAAUUGGAAUGACCCACUCCGCCAAGACGUUUGGUUUAUUUGUAGAUUGAGAAUUGAAAUGAGUUAUUCACAUUUCAUUGUUUGGUUCGUAUAAACUAAAAAAAUUAUAGGAUACUAUAAUACUAAUUUUACUCUCGAAUAUAAAUUUAUAUUAUUUAAAAUCUAUGAAAAAUAUAAUACUAUUCUCUAAUAAGUUUUCCAAAAAAAAUAUCAAAUUCAUUUUUAAAAACUUUUAUUGAUGUGGGUUAGGGAUAGGGUUUUUUUUUUUUUUUUGAUGAGAAAGGGGUGAAGAAAAGAAGGGUGAGAUGGUCACAUCGGCUUCGAAAACUUAGUGGGCUUCCGGAAUGAUAUCUCAAUCCGGACUAGAAGACCGGAAUCAAGUUGAAGGCUAAUGAGUCAUUCCCAUUCCAGUCCGAAAUAGGAAUCCCAAACCGAUUCAUGCGAACCAAACAAAAUUAACCGGAUUUGAUCAAACCGAUUCCCAUUCCAUACCUAAAAUGGAUGAACCAAACAAGCCCUUAAUUUGUGAAUGCUAUUAUUAUAUUAUUAAUAAAAUACUAUUAUAAUUUGAAAAUGAUUCUUUUGUUGAAACUUUGGUUUUGUAUAUAUUUGUGAAUGUAAAAGAAGAUUAUGUGGAAUUUAAAUAAAUAGAAUCAUAAAAUCAUGAAAUAAUUUUGUUUUUAGGGACAGGAGAAUUGGUCGUUAUAAUAUCGUUUUAAAAUUAAUUAUUAAAUGAGAUAUUUUUGUUAGCGAUGAAAAAGUUGGUCGCUAUUGCAUUCUAGUUGUUGGUAAAAUUGUAUUGCUAAAUCUCAACUGCGUCGGUAAGAUUAGUCAUUACUUUAUAAUAUUUUGGUCAUUAAUACUAUUCAUUAACGACGGGAAGGUUCCCAAAGGUUUCCAUCGGCUUUUGUUAUUAACAGCUGUUAUAUUGAUUAGGUCAUUAAUGCUUUUAACGAAGGAAGCAAUAACUACGGUUGACGACGGUUUUCUUGACCAUCGUUUUUGUGUUUUAACAACCGGAAAUAAAUCUAUAACGACUGUUUUUUCCUUCUUUAUAUAUAAUAUUUCCUGUAGUAAUUGUUGCCGUUCAAAAUUCGUUUAAGAAAAAGUUUGCUAAAAGUUUUAAAAAAAUUUCCAACAAUUUUCUCGGGAAAUGAUCAAGCCUGGGAGCCCGAUUACCUGUCUCUAGGAUUCUCCUCCACGGUGACGGAAGUAGUAAGGCUGUUAAAGGCAGGAUUAGGCAGAUUAAGGUUGUUAUCCUUGUUAUGGAUUAAUUGGUUUGUGAUAGGUACGUGGAUUGGUGUUGGGUGUGGUAUAAGAUCGGAAGUUGUUGGGAUAUGAUUGAUGUGUGGGUUGUGGUAAAGAGGUUCAAGGUCGAUGUAAGGGAGCUGCGAUGAAAUUCGGAGCCCAUGAUACUCAUGAAGAAGUUUCGUAGAAUUAGUUUCAGCAAUUUUAUUGUGAUUUCUUGUUCCUUGUCCAUUUUCCUCUAGCGUUGUUGUACAAUUUUCCCACCGCCUUCCGGAGAGUUGAAACUUAAGUCAAAGAGUUUUAAAAACUUCUAUAAUUUUGGGGCAAUUGCUUAUAUAUCAUGAAAAGUUUUCAAUUUUUUGAUUUAUCCCUCUCAGAAGACUAAUAUUGAAAAUAAUUUUUUACGUUCCAAUUUAUUUCAAAUAUAUCCCUAGAGUUAAAUUCUGUUAAUAAAUUGUUAGUAAUAAUUGUUAUCUGUAUGAAAUUACUAUUUUGCCCUUUCAAAUAUACCCUUACACCAUUAUCGACUUUUUUUAUUUGCCUUUUAAGUUAGGGGCAAAAAAAAUAUUUUGAUUUUUGUCUUUUCAAAUAUACACUUCUACUAUCAUCAAUAUUUCUUAUUUGUCCUUAAGUUAAGGGCAAAAGAGAUAUUUUAAUUUUUUUUUAAACUUUAGUAGAUAUUUAAUUUAUGUUGAACCCAAGUUAACUUAACAGGUGCUAACUGUAGGAGUAUUUUGGAAUAACGGAGGAACAUAUGAGGGGUAUAUUGAAAAGAAAAAAGUAGGAAUAAAUGAGAUAUUUUCGAAGUUUUGAAGGGUAUAUAGGUAAUUAUUCCUUUAAUUUUAGUAUUGAAAAAUUGAUAAGACUUGUUAAAAAAUACUAGUCUUUGAAUAGAUUAGGUAUAAAGUUUAGACUGCGUUUGGUUUUGGGUAUAAAUAAAAACUGCUUAUUCUAGAGAUAGAUACAAGUUCAGAUAAGGAAUAAGGUAAAAACAGUGUUUUGAUGGUUAGAUUGCAAUAAGGGGAAUAAGAGUUAUAAUUUUGAAUUAAAAUUAUUUCAUCUAAUUAAUUAGACCUUUUUGCAUAAAAAAUCCACUAGUUUUGGGCUUUUGCAAAAUUGGGUCUCUUUUUUUUUAUUUUGCAGAUUCGGUCAGGAUUUUUAGUAAACUGGCAAACUGUCCUUAUUACUUUUUCUCUCUCCUUUUUUUUUUCUCUCGUUUCUUUUUUUUUGCCCCUUUCCGAUAAAGGCGGCGGAGGCAGGAGGCGGAAACGGCGUGCCUCGCCUCUGCCCCUCAUGCCCUCGUCCUUCGCCCGCGCAAUCCCCGUCCUCCUCGCCUCAGACCCCGCCAAGGCCGCGUCGCGACUCUCUAUUUUUUCUCUCCGACCCUCCUCCACUGUCUCCGCAACCCGCCACCGCUGUCGGCGAUGAAGAGGAAGUGUUUCUUGGAGAUGAGAAGCACACCGGCUAGAGGGGGAAGAAAACUCCGGCGAAAGCGGUGGCUAUGAUAGAGGGCAAGGGAGAGAUCAUGACAAAAAAAAAAAUUAUAAAGGAAAAAAAUAAAAAUAAGAAAAAUAUUUUUUUCCUAUAUGAAAAAUUAAAAAUCAUAUAAAAAUGAUGAAGAUAAUAAAAUUGCGCUAUUAAAAUAAUGUUACAUUAUUUUAAAAAAAAAUUGCACUAUUUUAAAUAAGCGUUGCACUCUUAGAGACAGAAAUUAUACUCUUUAGAAUCAGAUUUACAGUCUUUAAGAUGAAGUUGCACUAUUUAGGUAAAAAUUUACACCAUUUCUUUUUUCUUCUUCUUCCUCUAAUUUACACUAUUUUUUUUCCUUCCUCUUCUUUCUCCUUCUUUCUUCUCCUUCUCCUCCCUGAAGUCCUACGAAGAAGGUAGGAUGCGGGCCUCUGGUGGCCGCAGCAUCCGCAUCAGCACUAUAUAGGGGGAACCGCUGUUGGGAGCGGGGCGUGGAGCGGGACGAGGCCGCGGAGGGCAACGGCCUAGGAGUAAGGGGCGCCCAAUGUAAUAUACCAAAAAUUCGGAAAGUAAAUAUCGAACUUUAGUCAAAUUGACCAAAGUGCGAGGACGGUACACUUCGGAAAGUCCGAAGGUGUUAAAACGAUUAAAAGCGAGUUACGGGAGGUUUUCGAGAGCUAUAGAAUCAAAUUCUGCAAGCUGCAGAUUUUGAGCUCUCGGGGACCGGUCCCUGGUGGGAGAGACUGGUCCCCGAACGCGUAUGAGGUUAGACAGCCGAAAAAUCGGCUAAGUCCUGAGAAACCAGCUCUCGGGAACCAGUCCCUGCCUGAGAGACCGGUCCCCGAGAGACCGGUCCCUGAAGGAGAGACCGGUUGCACUGCGCGCAGCAGCGCUGGCUGCGCUGGGACGACCUUCGGGAACCGGUCCCUGAAGGAGAGACCGGUCCCCGGCUGCGCGAACUGCCCAGUUCGGGCAGUGUAAUGAGAUCAAAGCUGAGGGACUUAUAUGCAAAAAUGCUUUAUGUGGGUCAUGUUUAGGGCUGAGAGAGCCUCUCCCUCUCAUUCUCUCACACCCAAACUCAUCCCUCUCCCUCUCUCUCUAGAAGACAAAGAAGGAGAAGAAGAAGACAAGGAAAGGAAGGAAAAAAAGGAGAAGAAAAAGGAGAAGAAGAAGAGGAAGUGAAGAAACUCCCUCUCCCUCAUCUCUAGCUUGGAAAAUGAGGGCUUACAAGGUAAGCUUUGAACCCUAAUCAUGGUAGAACCUAAUCUAGGGUUUGGAUUAAGCUUGAAAUGGGUUUUAUGGAACCAUUUGAGUAUUUGAAGCUUUUCUUUUGCUUCUUUUGAGAUCAAGACCAUAGAAAUGGUGAAGCUCGAGGUGAGCUUCAUCACCUCUCAUGGUGAAACCCUAAGUAGGGUUUUGAUUUGUCUAAAGAUGGUUCUAAUGGACUUUUUAGAAGUAUAAGAAGCUAUUUUGCUUCCUUUUGAGAAUCAAAACAACUAGUUUGAGAUAUUAUUCGGAGCUAGGGCACCAACAUUGGGUUUGUCGAUGAGGGUUUCUAAUCACGAUUGACCCUACUAGACACCUAAUUGGGGUAUUUCCGAGCGGCGUUGGUGGCGCUCGAUUAAUUACGAAAAGUCUAAUUAGGAGAUAUGGCAAGAAAUGCCUAAAGUUGUUGCGUUUACGCAGUGACCGAACGGAGGACCUAUAAAUCACUCAAGAAAAUCGUCGGAGCACCUAAAUAAGACUCUACGAGGUGGGUGGUGCUUCUCAAACUCAUUGAACUUCUCUCUAUGCCUAAUGUGUCAUUCAUUUGAGUAUUAUAUACUAUUUGUGGCAUGCAUUUUAGGGUAAAGUAAUGAUAAAAAUGUAAUGAUGCAUGAUUUGUGAGUACAACUUCAUAAUAUGAUAAAAUGAGAACUAUAUAAACGUCGAAAACCCUAUAUGUAUCAUGAGAGAAGUGAGCACCAUAAUGAGCAAAAGACAGAGUGACACAAUGACAUAGAUCGAGUGGCAUUCGAUAAGUUAACUGAAAUACACUAGAGAUAGUGUGAGUAGAAGAACCAAUGUAUUGUAAAGAUAUGAAAAUGACAAUAGUUAAAGUUAAGGUAAUGUGGGAGUAAAGAACAUGAAAUGCUAGGGUAGCCAAGAAGUAAAGAAUGUAAAAAAUUAAUUGCUAGAGUUAGCACACAAAGCGAUGUAAAGAACACUAGAGUUAGUGUAAAGUCAAAAUUGAAUUGUAAAUCCUUUGAGUUAAGGAUAUGAUCAUACUUCCUAUGAGUUCCGUGCUCGAGGGCGUCGCUCCCUUGGCGAUGCGCUCCGGAGUUAUGCAUCACGGGUUGGAGUAAACCCGAAGGACGGUCCUAGCGGGUGAGUUUUCUGCGAUGAUGACUUAAUGUGAAGCAAGUUAAUGUGGCGAUACCCCCGGUAGCCUUGAGAUUAAAGAACAAAGAGCAAAAUAAUCAUAGAGUAAAAAUAAAGAGAACAAAGAAUUGCAUAAUCUGCAUUAUUUAAAUGUUGAGCCAUACUCCUUACUUUAUUGUUCAGGCAUAAUUAGCAUCAUGUAUAGAUGGUUACUAUAUCAGCUUAUUCUUUCUAUUAUGCCUGAGUUAGUCCUAGUGGGAAAGUCGGUGAUCUGAGGCCGAACCCACUGGGAACUUUGUUGUAGUUCUCACCGCCACUAUUUCCACAUAGCCGGCGACCGAGCGAGGCCGGCGAGCGAUCCGAGAGAGGUAUCGCGCUUUAGUCACAGGCCAUCAAAGUUGGGUACAUUUUGUUAGUAAGACACCCUUGUAUCAUCUUUUGUACUUGAUGAUUAGUGAUGUAAAGAAAGAAUGUAAAGCUCAUUUUGAGGUAAAUAUGAUGUAAGAAAGAAAUGAUGAAAUUAUGUAAUGAAAUGCAAAGAAUCCUAAAUGUAAGAGAAAGAUGCAAUGUAUGUGAUCUAAAAUGAAUCAUAUUACUUUUGUAGAUGUUUAGUUUUCCUUUCUUUCACUAAUGGCUAUUGCUUACCCUCGCGUAAGCCGUUUGUGUAUGUUUCCGCUAGUGCUUUUCUCUAUUGAUGAAAAUGUACAUGUGAUGAGCCUUGGGCAGAUAGGGGAAACUCUGUCCGCUCGGCGUCUGUUUGACGUGCUCGGGUCGGGCCAAAUUGGCAUCGGUCCCGGGGCGUGACACCCAAGUUCAUGGUAGUCGUCAGCAUGGUAGCGUUGGCGAGGAGGCGAAGCCGCGCGGCGAGGGUGUCGGUGCUGGUGCCGCCGCCCACGCCGAGCGCGAGGCGGAUCGGGACAGCGCCAUAGGAGUGGGCGAGGCGGAGGAACUGUGGGAGCGUGAGGUCGAGGGCGGAGCAGGUCAAUAUAAAGCGUGCGGGCUCGGUGCGGACGAGGUCGAAGCUAAGGACGGCGGUGCCAGGGAGGUAGGAGAAGGAGCGGCAGAGCGAAGUGCUGGGCCAGAGGACGGCGGAGUCCUUGAGGGGGCCCGAGGAGAAGGGGUGGAAGGGGAGGAGCGAGGCUGGGAGGGCCCUGGAGACGGUAGGGGAGAAGCAGCGCCAGUGGGUGAGGGCCUGGCAGCCGCGGAGGUGGAGGGGCUCGGCCACGGAGAGGAUGUCAUCGAGGCAGGCCGAGAAGGGCGUCUAGUUCUUGUAGCGCCGGAGGACGUCCGAGAGGUCGGAGCAUGCCGACCGGAUGGGGCCGCCGACGCGGGAAUAAAGUAUGAGCUCCAGAGGCACAGAUGUGGAUGCUAUUGAUGCAGAUGUAGUAGCAACAGCAACAGUAGCAGUAAUAGAGGCUGCAUCCCACCUUCUCCGCUUUGCUGCCGCCGCCAACAAGGGCCCGCAUCCCACCUUCUUUGUAGGGCUUUAGGGAGGAGAAGGAGAAGAAAGGAGGAGGAAUAAGAGAAAGAAAAAAAUAGUGUAAAUUGAAGGAAGAAGAAGAAAAAAGAAAUAAUGUAAAUUUCAUCUAAAUAGUGCAACUUCAUUCUAAAGAGUGUAAAUCUGAUUCCAAAGAGUGUAAUUUCUGUCUCAAAGAAUGCAACGUUUAUUUAAAAUAGUGCAAAAUUUUUUUUAAAUAGUGUAACAUUAUUUUAUCAGUGCAAUUUCAUUAUCUUCUUUCUUUUUAUAUAAUUUUAAAUUUUUCAUAUAGAAAGAAAAAAUAUUUUUUAUUUUAUUUUUUUAUAAUUUUAUUUUGUCACGAUCUCUCCUUUGCCUUCUAUUGCAGUCACCGCUCUCGCCGGAGUUUUCUCCCCCCUCUCGCCGGUGUGCUUCUCGUCCCCGAGAAGCACUUCCUUUUCGUCGCCGGCGGCGGGCUGUCGAGGCAGUGGAGGAGGGUCGGAGAGGAAAAAAAAUAGAAAUCGCCGCACAGCCUCGACGGGGUCGGAGGUGAGGAGGAAAGGGGGUGCGCGGGCGAAGGAUGAGGGCGUGAGGGGCAAAGGAGAGGUACGCUGUUUCCGCCUCCCGCCUCGGCUACCUUCUUCGAAAAGGAAAAAAAAGGAACGAGAGAAGAAAAAAAAAAAGAGGACAGACAAAAAGUAAUAAGGGCAUUUUGGUUAGUUUACUAAAAAUCCGGACCGAAUCUGCAAAAUAAAAAAAAGCAACCCAAUUUUGCAGAAGCCCAAAACUAGUGGAUUUUUUAUGCAAAAAGGCCAGUUAAUUAACAUCAAAAUAUUAAUUAAAAAUAAUUUAGUAAAUUAAUAAAUUUAUUAGCUAUGAAUAUGUAUAAGAUUAUAAAAAUAUUAAUUAAUUAAUUAAUUAUAAAAAUAAUUUAAUUUUUUAAUUAGUUAGUAAAUUAUUUUAGCUAGAUAAUUAGUAAAAAAUUAAUUAGAUUAAUAGAAAUAUUAAUCAUUGAUCAAUAUAAAUAUUAUUUUAUGGAUAAAUACAUUAAAUUAUUAAUAAUAAAUUAUAAAUAAUAAAUUAAUAAAUUAUUUUAUUAUUUAAUAAUAAUUUGUCGCUGAUGCCACCACAAAACAACAUCUUAAUUAUUUCUUUAUCAUCAAGCAUAAUACUAUUGUAUCAUUAUGUUGGUAGCCGAAUUUUCCGAUCCUUGACCCGGUCAAAGAUCCUCCUCGGGAAGCGUGUCGAGGUGAGGAAUGGCUGCGGAUAAUGACCCUCGAAGUUUGCGCCCUUCGACAUAUCAAGCGAUUCGACUGAUGAGGGAUGAAAUCAGCCGGGUUCGAAAACCUUUACUGUAGAAUCGGUUCGGCUGGAUGAGCCGAAUGUAUGAACUGUGCAGGGAUCAAUGUCGGCAGAAGAACCGAAUGGAAGUAGUACACAGUAACUGGUCGGCUGAAAGAGCCGAAUAAAUAAAAUACACAAUGACUGGUCGGCUGAAAGAGCCGAAUGCCUAAAUAUAUAUAUAUAUAUAUAUAUAUAUAUAUAUAUAUAUAUAUAUUAAUAAAACAGAGUGUGCCCGAAGGGCAUACAGACUCUGCAAAUAUGUAGUUUACANUAUAUAUAUAUAUAUUAAUAAAACAGAGUGUGCCCGAAGGGCAUACAGACUCUGCAAAUAUGUAGUUUACAACAGAGUGAUGCCCGUGGGGCAGACAGACUCCAGGGUUCUACUUAAAAACUACUCCUAGGAAAGUAGUAAAUACGAAAAAGAAAAGUUUACAUUCAUACUACUCCUAGAAAAGCGAUAAAAUUGUAAAGAAAUAAGGGUGGUCUUCUCGUUCAGGAGGGUGAAAAACUCUUAUUAUAGGUUUUGAAGUUACUAUUUAUAGUGAUGUCUUCUCAGCCCACAUUAUUGGUCGGUUGAAAGUAGUGGGGGAAGUGGUUGUAACCAUGAUCGUGAAAGUUACACCCACUCCUCAUGGAAGUUAUGCCCCAUCGUGGAAGUUACGCCCCACUUCUCAACCGUUCCCGCCUAGAACCUUCAGGCGCCUUAUUGCCGACUCCUGGUGUACCACGUGUACUUAUUGGCUCAUACGUGGGUUAGGUCGGCAUGUUAAUUUCAAUUUUGGCAUCAACAAUGCCCCCCCAAUAGUCCUUCGAAUGAACAUUUGGAUGACUAUUGGUGCCAAAUCGACUGCUCAAAUGACACAGCCGAGACCCAAGCUUUAGUUUUGCUGGUCUUGGUCGGCUUUAAGAAAACGACGCUUUAUCUUCCCAGCCACAUAUAUCUAGGCUUCAUCAGCCGAUUCUUUACUUUUAUUCGAUUGGUUCGGCUCUUCUUGAAACGAAUUUUUUUCUAUCAAGAAAUUCUCUUUGAAGAAAGUGGCUAUAUCUCGGCUUCAUCAGCCAAUUCUUUAUUUUUACUCGAUUGGUUCGGCUCUUCUUGAACCGAAUGUUCUUCUAUCAAGGAUUUCUCUUUGAAGAAAGUGGCUCUUUACCAGCCGCAUAUAUCUCAGCUUUAUUAGCCGAUUCUUUACUUUCACUCGAUUGGCUAGCUCUUCUUGAACCGACUGUUCUUCUAUCAAGAAUUUCUCCUUACCUUUGCUUUGAUUUUUAUAUCGGCUCCAUUGCAGCCGAUCGUCCUCACUUUCCUUCCGGAAUUUCUCAUAUUGGGCAACCCGAACAUCUAGGUCAAAUAGGUUAGAAAAAUACUUAUCUUGAAAAUGGUCUUUUAUCUUAAAAUGCAGACCAUUUAACGCCAUUUUGGCGAACUCUGAUUCGAAUAUCCUGACAAAGCAUCGACUUCUGGCCGUCUUGAAUCGGUUUAAAUAUUCUUCAACCGAUUCGCAUGUUCUUUGUUUAAAUUGGGCUAAAUCAGCUACCAACAAUUCUGGUUCUGAUCUGUAAAACUGCUCAUGAAAUUUUUCUUCUAAUUCGUCCCAAUCUGGGACGAAAUUAGCGGGUAGAUUCGUGUACCAAGUAAAAGCUGUCUUGGUUAACGAGGUGUUGAAUAACAUAAGUUUCAAAAAUGGGUCUGCGGCAGCUUCCUGGCACUGUGCCGUGAACCGUGCAGCAUGUUCGACCGUAUUUUCGGUCUCAUCUUCGAAAAACUUGUCAAAUUUCGGCAUUUUCCAAUUCGCCGGAUAAGGAUGCUCUGCAUCUAUGUUUGCGGGAUACGGGGAUCGAAAAACAGGCCGUAUAGCCGGCCUGGCCCCUACUCGAAGGUAUUCCGGAUGACUUCCUCAAUUUGAUCAUACAGUUCAUUGUUAUUCCCUUGUAUGGGAAGCGGAGCUUGUGCUUGAGCCGGAUUCGGCCCUUGAGGAACUCCAUAAUUAUGUAUUGCAGGGUUCGCUCCUUGCAUAGUAUUAGGGGCCUGCCCCCCAGCUCUAAUCCCCGCAUUUUGGGCAUGAUAAGCUGGUAAAGGAAGUAAACCGGAUGCAAUCUCUGACUGCGGGCCAGUGUUUAUAUUCGCUGGCCUAUAAGCAGCCUGGAAAUGUGCCAUUUGCAGUUGCGCAUGUGAGACCGCCAGUGUGACUGAAUUUUGUUGCGCCGGCGCAGUUAGAGGCCCCUGUUGCCCCCCGUAAGGUUGCUCGUUUUGGGUAAAUAACUAUUUGAUUCGAACAAUAUUUUCAUUAUAGACCAUGAUGGCGGCCAGUACCGCGUCUAAUCGAGCGGUACUUUGAUGGAUAUUUUGAUCUAUAGUUUGCAGGACUCGGAUCAUCUGGCCGAGUGCCUGAGUUAGAGUCGGCUCUUGAUAAGCCGACUGUCCACUAGUUUCUCCUUAAACUGGCGAAACUACUUGGCGUUCGCUAGCAUUGUCUGAAUCGCUAGGUUGAUCAUUCCCAGAAUUUCUAGGAACAACCCGAUUGCGCAAAUUCAUAGCAUUAUCAUCAGCCAUAAUUUCAAUAAAAAUGUGAAUUUACCUAAAAUUGGGUCCCACCGGGCAUGCCAAAAAUUAUUGGUAGCCGAAUUUUUCGACCCUUGACCCGGUCAAAGAUCCUCCUUGGGAAGCGCGUCGGGGUGAGGAACAACUGCGGAUAAUGACCCUCGAAGUUUGCGCCCUUCGAUAAAUCAAGCGAUUCGGCUGAUGAGGGAUCGAAUCAGCCAGAUCCGAAAACCUUUACUGUAGAAUCGGUUCGGCUGGAUGAGCCGAAUGUAUGAACUGUGUAGGGAUCAAUGUCGGCAGAAGAGCCGAAUGAAAAAAGUACACAGUAAUUGAUCGGCUGAAAGAGCCGAAUAAAUGAAAUACACAAUGACUCGUCGGCUGAAAGAGCUGAAUGCCUAUAUAUAUAUAUAUAUAUAUAUAUAUAUAUAUAUAUAUAUAUAUAUAUAUAUAUAUAUAUAUAUAUAUAUAUAUAUAUAUAUAUAUAUAUAUAACAGAGUGUGCCCGAAGGGCAUAUUGACUUUGCAAAUAUGUAGUUUACAAUGGAGUGAUGCCCGUGGGGCAGACAGACAUCAGGGUUCUACUUAAAAACUACUCCUAGGAAAGCAAUAAAUGCGAAAAAGAAAAGAUUACAUUUAGACUACUCCUAGAAAAGUGAUAAAAUUGCAAGAAAAUAAGGGUGGUCUUCUCGUUCAGGGGGGAGAAAGACCUUUAUUACAGGCUUUGAAGUUACUAUUUAUAGUGAUGUCUUCUCAGCCCACAUUAUUGGUCGGUUGAAAAUAGUGGGGGGAGUGAUUGCAACCAUGAUCGUGGAAGUUACGCCCACUCCUCAUGGAAGUUACGCCCCAUCGUGGAAGUUACGCCCCACUUCUCAACCGUUCCCGCCUAAAACCUUCAGGCGUCUUAUUGCCGACUCCUGGUAUACCACGUGUCCUUAUUGUCUCAUACGUGGGUUAGGUCGGCAUGUUAAUUUCAAUUUUUAGCAUUAACACAUUAUCUCACAAUAAUACAUUACAAUUUAAUCAACUAAAUUACGUUGUGAGAGUUAGAUUACAAUAAUUAAGAAAAUUUGAGCAAAAAAUUAUAAUAAAUAAAAGUUUGAGAACCAAAUGUCACGUGCCUGCCUCAUAAUUUGAAGACUAAUAGUGCAAUUUAGUCUAAAGUUGAUGAUUUUCUGAAGAUAUUAACUAUUAAUUAACUUUUAUUUUAAUUGUUAAAUUUUAUGAAACUAUUAAUACCUUUGAGGAUAUUUUCAAAAAAACCUAUAGUUGAGAGGUGUACGUUUUAAUUCUAUGCAUGUGCACGCUGUAGUCUUUUUUAUAGAAUAUAAAAAUCCCCUUAUCAGGUGACCGCUACCGGAUAUAGAAAGCAUAUAAUCUAUGUAUCAGGGACAUGUCUGUAAGCCACACGUGUCCGUAUUAGACAUGCGCAUGUUCGUGUCGGACAUGCGUCCGAUGAGAACACUCUUUUGAUGUAUGUUCAAUACCGAUUCAUAGCGCAAAUAAUUAAAAUAAUAUAUACAUAUUUUUAUUUACUUUUUUAUCCAUAUAUAAUAUAAGAUGAUAAAUAUUUUAGCUUUUUGAUGAAUACAUAAAAAUUUUUUGAUAAUAUAAAUAAAUUAUAUAUAGUAAAGAAUUAUUUUUAAAAAGAUAUAUGAAUUAUUAAUGAAAAUUUACUAACUUUUAUUUAUAUGAGAAAUAUAAUAGUAUUUUAUCGAAAUUAAUAUUUUAUAUAUAAUAAAUAUAUAUUAUUAUCUUAAUAAUAUUAUAGUUUUUCAGCGGUGUAAAUGUCGUGUAUGUGUUCUAAUUUGUUGAAAGCUAUCGAGUCGAUGUGUUCAAGUCAUGUCGUAUUUCGUGUCUCGUGUCAAUUUUCGUGAAAGCUAACUUAUAAGUUAUAACCAAUUAUACUAUUGGUUAUGUUAAUCCACAUCGUCUACUGAAAAAAUGGACAGUGACCAGAGUUAAAAGGUAUAAAAUCUUUAUUCUAAAAUUUUUUUUUUUUUUUUAGAGAUAGGUAGUACGUUACGCGCUUUGUUUAUUUCAUUUAGAAAUAAACUUAGCUGGAAAUGUGAAUCAACUAGAAUUCGAACUUGGAACCUUAGGUACCAACCACCAAAUUUUUUGCCACUUGCUCUAGGGUGGUCGGUAUUACUCUAAAAUUUUUAAGUCACUUGUUCAUGUACAUAUAUGCAUUAUUUAUUUCAAAAUGUCCAAACAUUGUUAUCCCGCUCCCAGCAGGAAAAAAAAAAGAAAAAAGAAUCACCCUAUACCGUGAUUGCAUGCAACUUGGUUAAGCCGGUUGCUUUAUUUUUUUUAUAAAAAAAAUCAAUUAUCUUUUAUUUUGCCGAAACUAUUCUUCUCAUAUGGGCUAACUUCAAAUACCACUCUAGUGGUUUCGCACUUUCUCACUUUCGUACUCUAUAAUUUAAAGUAUAUUAAAUUAGUAUCCUGUGAUUUCAUUUUUAUCUUUUCGUCAGUUUCUCCGUUAAUAUUUUGUUAAAUUAUGUACAAAAAACUUCAGAUAUCUCAACCAGAUUUAUCGAAUUUUUACUUUAGUACCCUUUAGUUUUAACUUUGUCAUUGAUUUAACGAAAAAAAUUAGUGAAAUUGAUAAUAAAAAAAUAAAAAUGAAACCAUAUGGCACUAAAUUGAUACACUUUAAACCACAGGGUACUAAAGUGAGAAAGUGUAAAACCAUAGAAAUGGUAUUUGAAGUUUUCCCUUCUUAUAUUAAAGGUUUGAUUUUCUUCUUAAAAUUUAGGGGCAAUUGCUUAUAUAUUCCUGAAAAGUUUCCUACUUUCUGAUUUACCCCUCUUAGAAGGUUAAUAUUGAAAAUACCCUUUCUACGUUCCAACCUAUUUCUAAUAUAUCCUUAGAGUUAAAAUCUGUUAAUUAACCUGUUAUCUCUGUAAAAUUAUUAUUUUGCUCUUUCAAAUAUACCCUUUCACCAUCACUGACUUUCUUAUUUGCCCAUAAAGUCAUGGGCAUAAAAAGUAUUUUGACUUUUGGUCUUUUCCAAUAUACCCUCCUAUCGUCACCAACAUUUCUUAUUUGCCCUUAAGUUAAGGGCAAAAUUGGUAUUUUAAUUUUUUUUUAACUGUGGUAGAUAUUUAACUCAUGUUUAACCGAAGCUAAGUUAACAGAAGAUAACUGCGGGGGUAUUUUACAAUAACGGUGGAACAUAUGAGGAUUAUUUAAAAAAAAUAUAAUAAAUAAUUUGAAUAUUUUUAAACGUAUGAGAGGUAUAUAGUCAAUUAUCCCGAAAAUUUAUCAUAAGCGGACCGAACCAGUACACGAGCAUCUGUAUAAAUAUGUAACAGCACCAAAUACAAGGUGAUGUAGAGCUAUAAUUAGCUAAUUAUAACCUAAUAAGUACACCGGCCCACCCAAACUAUAGUGUAAUCAUAAAAUAGUUCAUAUAACAUUGUAGAAUGCAACGGAAGUAUUCGUUCGUAUCUUUUGCGGAAGCGAUUCGCGCUACAACGCGACGAGCCCGGAUCGUAGAGAUUGAUUCACGUGUCCUUGGAUCGUCCUUGAAGGUCUUUUAACACUCCGAACUCGCGGUGGAUUGAACUACAAACGAGUACGAUCGCAAAUUCACCGUUCAAGUCCUUCUAGAAUAAUAGGUUAAUAGAGAAUGUGGUAUCUCUCUUUUUGUUUUCUUAUUCUCUUUCCUUUUCCGUUCUCUUUUUUUUGUGGGAUCGCCCGUAUAUUUAUAAAGGAUUCCAAAAUCCUAAUAGCGUAAGAGAUAAGGCCAAAUCAGUUAUUAAUCGUUAACCUAAUAUGAUUAGAUUUUAUCUCUAAAUAGCUUUCCAAUUUAAAAGUGAGAUUAAUCCUAACCCAAUUAGAUAUUAUAAUAACCGUCGGAUCGAGCCCGAUUAUGGGCGCACCCGAUUCGAUUUAACCGAAUGCCAACAUCUCCUACUCGCACAUGACGGGAUCGAUGCCAUCGUAACCACUUUCUCAAUAUUACACCACUAUUAAUUCUAUUCUUACAGGAAAAUGAACAGUGCGACCGCCGAGUAAACCUGCAUUUUGGGAACUCUAUACUAGAAACUGCAUAUGGCCAGCAUAGAGACAUCGACCCUCAAAAAGAAAUAUUAGACUCGUGAUGCCCUAGACAAUUUGAAUUACAUCAGGUUCAGCAUCUCUAAUCUCUCGAAGAGCCAUGCUAACCUCUGUUGCGCACAUUAUGACACUAUACUCAUAAUUGUUUCGCUAUGCUGAAGCGACAGAACCUGUCGACAAUGAGUCAAAGUGUCUGAAUGUAAUUCAGCUAAUCUUCCUUGAGCCCUCAUGCCAUCGAGUUGAGAACUGAUUGCUUUCCCAGCAAUGCCCCGUAAAGCCACAUCACUCAUAGCCGUAGGAAACAUGCCAAAAUAGCAACAUCAAUUCUUUCACUUAAUGACAUAAUCAAAAGUCACUAAGGGCAUCUAACAUAUAUAGGACAUCGUCUCAAAAUAAUGCCCGUGAGAACUCACACGAUGAGGAAGCAGAGAUCCAUUCACUCAUCUUCGUUAUUUUGUCGCCCAGCACAUGUAGUAUGAAAUACAUACUAUUACAGAAAAUCCAAAUAAGCGUAUGUCUUUCUCAAUGUCAUACGGAUCUUAGCUCAGUCACUCCCGGAGUGUCUAGCCUGAGUUCUCCAUUUGCUCGCUAUCUCAAGCGCCAAACGGUGAGCUCACAUCCGGCUCUUAAUAUACAGGCCAUACGAAUCAUGGGACUAUUCGUAUUUGGUCUCAUUAAUGACCUCAUCUUGGUGCCAACCAAGGCGGCUUCCAUUAAUGCCUCAAUUUUCGCUCGCUCUCUACAGCGCCAAAAAGAAUGAUUGCCCAUGUGAGAGGGCCAAUCGGCCUGCAACAUACUAUCAAUCCGUUCUACAACAAUAUAGAAAAUAUAUGCACGUGUGCUAAUCUUACCAAAUAUCUUUGCCAAAGUAAUAAGUUGUAAUUAAAUAACCAAAAAUAUUACAAUAAGAAAAGAUGUGUUCUAGGAUUAUUUCCUUCUGCGCCACUGCCUCACGAACAAAGUGAUACUUUAAGUCGAUGUGCUUAGUCUUGGCAUGAUAUUUCGGGUCCUUCGAGUAUGCAAUCGCUGCAAUAUUAUCACAAUAGAUCGUCACAGGAACGGAAGUACAAGCGACAAUCCUAAUGUCUCGAAGGAACCUCCUCAACCAGAUAGCCUCCUGAGCCGCUGCAGAACACGCCGCGAACUCCGCCUCAAUGGUGGAAAGAGUUACGCAAGUCUGUUUCUUACUACUCCAAGAUAUGGCGCCAUUGUCAAGUAAGAAUGCAUAUCCUGAGGUCGACUUACGCUCAUCUAGGUCACCAGCCCAAUCCGCAACACUAUAACCGAUGAGACGCAAAUCCGUACCUUGAUAGCACAGCACAUAAUCUAUCGUACUUCUAAGGUAACGAAGUAUCCUUUUAACAGUCUUCCAGUGGUCCAAUCCCGAAUUAGACUGAAAACGGCUAACCAGGCCCACGCAAUAACAUAUAUCAGGCCGAGUACACAUCAUAGCAUACAUCAGGCUUCCGACCGCAUUAGCAUAUGGAAUCUGAUUCAUCUUAUCCUUCUCUUCAGAAGUUUUAGGGCACUGUUUAAGGUUCAGACUCUGACGUUUAGCAAUAGGAGUGUCAAUGGGUUUGCAAUUGUGCAUCUGAAAUCAUUCUAAAACUUUUCUUAGGUAAGUCUCUUGAGACAGACCUAAAAGUUUCUUUGAACGAUCUCGUAGUAUCUUAACUCCGAGCAUAUAAUUCGCUUCACAAAUAUCCUUCAUCUCAAAAUUAGAGGACAGCCACGUCUGAGUGGCGACAAUCAUCUCCUUAUUAUUCCCGGCCAAUAGGAUGUCAUCAACAUAUAAGGAAAGGAUUAGAAAAAAUUCUUUGGACCGUUUAACAUACACACAGUGAUCUUCUUCAAUCAUCGUAAACCCAUCUUCAGUGAUGGCUCGAUGAAAUUGAAUAUACCACUGUCUGGAGGAAUGCUUCAAUUCAUAAAUGGAUCGUCGGAGCUUACAAACUUUAUGCUCCUCACCUUUACAGAGAAGCCAGCAGGCUGAUCCAUAUAGAUCUCCUCAUCCAGUUCUCCAUUGAGAAAUGCAGUUUUAACGUCCAUUUGGUAAAGUUCCAAAUCCAAAUAUGCGACAAUGGCCAAGAUUAGGCAGAUCGAAGCAAAACUUAUGACAGGAGAAAAGGUUUUCUCGUAAUCAACGCCUUCUCGUUGUGUAAAACCCUUUGCUACUAGGCGAGCCUUAUACCUAUCGAUUGAACCGUCUGCCUUGCGCUCAGUCAAUCAAGUCCCAGACAUGAUUUGACUUCAUCGAUUCUAUUUUCUCUAUCAUUGCAUUCAACCCUUCCUUAUGAGUAGGUAAUGAGAGAGCCUAGGAAAGAUCCAGGCACAUCAUCAUGUGCAGUAACCAUGAAAGCUUCCCUCUCAAUUUCAAAACAAUGACGGGAAACUCCCACACGUGCUCCUACGAAGUUGAGGCUCUUUUUCUAAAGGUAAGUCACUCCCACUAUCCCCAGGAGGUAUCGGAGUCGCCUCCUCUGCCUCAACUGAGCGAAUAGAAGCGCCAAUACCAGAGUCAUCCAUCUCAUGGAACUUAAUUUCAUUUCGAACCUCACUUCUAUAAGGAAAAUCCUCCUCGAGGAAUUUAACGUCUCGCGACUCAAUUUCAGUCAAACUUGUAUCUGGCUGCUUUCUGAUGAACACAUAUCCCUUAGAUUGUUGAGGGUAUCUUAUAAAGAUAUACGUUUUUCCUCUAGGACCUAACUUUCCAUGCUCAUGCGAAUUGUUGUGCACAUAAGCUGCCGAACCCCAAGGACGCAGGUGCUCCAUAUUUGGUUUCCUGCCUGUCCAUAAUUCAUAAGGGGCGGAAGGUACUGUUUUGGAGGAUACAUGAUUAAGAAUGUAGGCAGCAGUUAAUAAUGCAUCUCCCCAAAAGGCGAUAGGCAAAUUUGCUUGCGCCAUCAUUGACCUAACCAUGUCAAGUAAGGUGCGAUUUCUUCUCUCCGCUACACCAUUUUGCUGCGGAGUGCCAGGAAUUGUUAGUUGUCUGAUUAUUCCCUUCUCAUCACACAAUUUCUUGAAUUGUUUAGAUAGAUACUCGCGGCCUUGAUCAGUUCUUAAGGUUUUAAUUUUCAUAUCUAACUGAUUCUCAACCUUAUUAAUAUAACGUCUAAAACAAUCCAAUGUUUCAGACUUAUAGGAGAUCAAAUAAACAUGACCGAAGCGCGUAUGGUCAUCUAUAAAUGUGAUGAAGUAAAAAGCACCAUGUCUUGCCCUUACACUCAUUGGGCCACAAAUGUCGGAAUGGAUUAAAUUGUAAAGGAAAUUCUGCCCUAGAAGUUUUAUCAAAUGGUUUUCGGUUUGCUUUUCCCGCUAAACAAUGUUCACAUGUGGACAGGUCGACUUUAGUGAGCGAGCUCAAUAGCCCGUCUCUAACUAAUCUAAUAAUUCUAUCCUGCCCAAUAUAACCAAGACGUGCAUGCCAUUUAAUUGAAACAUUGUGAUCAUUCUCAGCAGAAGAUAGCAAGGAAAAAGAAACACUAUUAUUAAUAUAAUAAUCAAUGUCCAAAACCAUAAAAUCAUUUGACAAAAAAUCUUUUCCAUAAUAAAUAGUUCCAAGAUGAAUCUUAACUAUAUCAUUCUCAAAACGAAAAGAAAAGCCUAACUGUAGCAUAGCAAGAAUAGAAAACAAGUUCCGUCGAAUUCCUGAAGUAUAAAGUACAUCAUGUAGGUACAAAGUUCGACCACCUUGCAUGAUCAACUUGUAUGUGCCAACGCCUAACACAUCGACACUAGAAUCGUUCCCCAUGUAUACUCUUCUUCUCCCAGCAGGCACACGACGAUACUCGACGAAUCCCAUCCGAUCUCUCGCUACGUGGUUUGUUGCUCCUGAGUCUUCUUCGGCCCAGAGCAAUCACGAGCGACGUGUCCUAGCUGAUUACAAUUGAAGCAGGUCAUCUUUGACUUGUCCUUCUUACUACCUCGUUUGCUUCUCUUUCUUUUAGUAUUCUUCGUGUUCUUAGGCGCGGAUCCAGUAUGAUUUUGAGGCCCAGUAGUCCUUUUUCGCGUGAAUCCAAAUGUUCUGCGAAAAUUUAACUCAGCAGCAUUAGCAGUUGGAGUUUUAACAGCCUCAAGGCGCUCCUCCUCCAACUCCAAAUGCCGUGCAACAUCCUCAAAAGUUUUAAUAUUUUCAUUAUGGGUCAAAUUUACUCGCAUAUGUUCCCACGAAUUGGGAAGUGAGCGAAUCAUAGCUUGCAUCUGCUGCUCAUCAGUUAAGGUACCGCCAACCGACUUUAACUCGCGAAUCAUGUUUGACAUUAUUCUCACGUGCUGUUUCAUAGUCUGAUCGGCACGCUUCUUAUAACUGUCAAACCGCAUAGUCAGACUACGCAACCUUGUGGUCGAAGUCACACCAAAUUUUGCUUUGAGAGCCUCCCACAUUUCAUACGCAGUCGGAUACUGCUCACACUGGCACAAGAGAUCAUUCUGCAUACUGCUCAGCAACGUGAUGCGAGCAAUGCGAUCCUUUUUAAGCCAAUUAUUAUAGGCUUUCAUAUCUCGGCGAGCCUGGGCACUGGUGCCCUCUGUGGGUUGGUCCAUUUUAUUACUCAAGUUUUUCAGGACCUCUUGCUCAGCGAGAAUAUAUUGAAUUUUACGGUGCCAAAUAUCAUAAUUGUCACUAUCUAAUUUCUCGCCUUUGUUUAAAUCCACAACAACUUGUUUGGAGGCCAUUUAAUCUCACUAAGUUCAUGCAAUGCGCAGAAAAAUAUUUUAAAAUUAGUACACGAUACAUGUAUUCAAUUUUGCCCCAUCUCUAAUUAAAUAAAUUAAAAAUUAGAUCAUAGAUACGUAAAGAAAAAAGUCGCUAUGCUCAUAAUCACAUCACACACCAUAUGUCAAAUUUUUUAAAUUAUUUAAUUAAGAUGCACAAAAUGUUUGGGAGUAAAAGUAUAUAUUAUACUCUACCAAAAUUAAAGAUUCCCACUUGAUAAGGCAUGCAAAAAAAAAUUUAUAUUAUGCUAAAAGAUUGUAUCCAUACAUAAUAGAAAAAGCAUUAUAAAAUUUUAAAUGCAUGCUAAUAUGUCACAAAAGCAUUUUGAACCAUUGACCAUGCAUAAUAUAUCAUGAAAGCAUAUUAAUCAUUGAAUACGCUUUUUUUUAAAAAAAAAAGUGCAAAAAAUGAAAAGAAAAGACCCAAGAAAAUUUUCUGCAGGUCCGCGCAUGGGCUGUUGCCCCGCAUGCGGCCCGGCCUAUCCGGCCUGCGCAUACUGGCCAGCGCCAGGUCUUCUGGCUAGCCCGCGUGCGCGGUCCGAACGGCCCGCACGGCCCGAAUGGCCCGAGCAUUCUGCUGGCUUGCGCAGCUUGCGUGCGCUUGCCAGCGCGCGCGGCCUGCUUGCCCGCGCAGGCCUCGCACGCGGCCCGGGAGGCCGGCCCGUGCUCGGCACACGUGACUUGCGCGCGGCCCGCGCAGUUUGCGUGGAGCCUACGCGCGGCCCGCGCAGCCCGCGUGGCCAGUGCGGCGUGCUUGGCCCACGCGGCGCGCUUGGACCGCGUGGCCUGAGCGGCACGCACUGUGCAUGUUAGCCCGCGCGGUUUGCGCGCUGCCUGCUAGGCCUGUGCGGCCCGCGUUCACGCGGCCUGCGAGGCCUGCGCAGCCUGCGCAUGGCUCGCGUAGCCUGCGUGGCGCGUGGCUUGCGCCCGGCGCGCGGCUUGCGUGGCCCGUGCGGCGCGUGGCCCGCAGCCUGCGUGCGGUUUGCAGCCUGCGCGAGGCCCGCCUGGUUGCGGGGCUUGUCGCGUAGAUGCGGCCUGCGCGGCCCGCGUGCGCGCCCACGAGACUCCAAGCUGUGUGGUAUCCGAUUUUUUUUUUUUUUUUUAAAGAUAGUGAAUCUUCAAAAAAUCAUAACUUAUGAUUUAAAACUCCGAUUCAUGCAAUAAAUACAUCGAUGGAAAGCUUGUGAGGAGCUCUUCCAAAUCAUGCAAUUUUCACAAUGGAAUAUGCAUCACACAUCAAACAAGCCACCCCCAAAGUUUCGAUUUAGGGUUUCGUUUUUCUCUUAAAAUAGAAAACCUUAUCAAAUCGAACUUUGUAGAUUUAAUCUAUAAUAUAGGUGCUUUAAGAUGUGAAGAAAAUCAAGCAAAAUUAUCCACUUUUGAAAAAUUCGCCAUUAACGCUCACAUACAUGCAAGAAAAAAAUCUAAAACAUGAUAGAUCUAAUUUUAACGCAUGUAAUCUUGUUAAAAGUUGAUCUAGGGCACGAAAUCAACCUAAAAAGGGCUCUGAUACCAAUGUAGAAUGCAGCGGAAGUAUUCGUUCGUAUCUUUUGCGAAAGCGAUUCGCGCUACAACACGACGAGCCCGGAUCGUAGAGAUUGAUUCACGUGUCCUUGGAUCGUCCUUGAGGGUCUUUUAACGCUCCGAACUCGCGGUGGAUCAAACUACAAACGAGCACGAUCGUAAAUCCACCGUUGAAGUCCCUCUAGAAUAAUAGGUUAAUAAAGGAUGUGGUAUCUCUCUUUUUGUUUUCUUAUUCUCUUUCUUUUUCCGUUCUCUUUUUUGUGUGGGAUCGCCCGUAUAUUUAUAAGAGAUUCCAAAAUCCUAAUAGCGUAAGAGAUAAGGCCAAAUCAGUUAUUAAUCGUUAACCUAAUAUGAUUAGAUUUUAUCUCUAAAUAGCUUUCCAAUUUAAAAGCGAGAUUAAUCCUAAUACAAUUAGACAACAUAAUAACCGUCGGAUCGAGUCCGAUUAUGCGCGCACCCGAUUCAAUUUAACCGAAUGCCAACAUAUGAGGAUUAUUUAACCGUCGGGGGUAUUUUGCAAUAACGGUGAAACAUAUGAGGAUUAUUUAAAUAAAUAAAUAAAUAAAUAAAUCGAAUAUUUUUAAACGUAUAAGAGGUAUGUAGUCAAUUAUCCCUAAAAUUUAUCAUAAGCGGACCGCACCAGUACAGGAGCAUCUGUGUAAAUAUGUAAGAGCACCAAAUACAAGGUGAUGUAGAGCUAUAAUUAGCUAAUUAUAACCUAAUAAGUACACCGGCCCACCCAAACUAUAUUAUAAUCAUAAGAUAGUUCAUAUAACAUAAAGAACAAAACUCUAUUAGGAGAUAAAAUUCUCCUACUAAGCCAAAUAUCCACUGACACGUAGCCAAAGCUCUUUUACUAAGACAUACCAAACAACGUCACACCAUAAUCCAGUCGCUCUCUUUCUAUAUAUAUAUAUAUAUAUAUAUAUAUAAAUACCAAUUCUUAGUGCUUUUAGAUUUCUAAUCCUUAGAUCUCCAUCUAAGAACUACAACAUCAACAUCUCCGUCUAAGAGCUAGAAAUCAAAAAAGCACUAACAGUUUGGUACUUUUAGAAAUAUUCUAAAUCAAUUAUAUAUAUAUAAGAUAAUUUUUUUUAUUAAUGAGAUGAAUUAAUUGGAUCCAUCAAAUUCUGAUUCUCUUCUCAGGGUUUUGAGGAAUGACCCACUCCUGGUGAUCUCCCGGAGGGGCUUGUUGGUGAACCGGAUGAGAUUGUAAGCCCAUGCUCCAGCGACCGCCCCGGCAGUGGGGCCCACCAUGUACACCCAAAUUCCGGUGUACCGGUGCAACACGAUCGCAUUCCCCAGGGUCCUCGCGGGAUUCAUCGACGGUCCUGAUAUCUGCCUAUUAAUAAAGAAAAAUAAUAAUAUUAUUACUUAUUUCAUAUUAUAAAAAAUUUUUAACUUUUGAGAAAUGCUGAAUAAUUUAUUACCUGAUCUUUUUUAUUUAAGUCGCCCGAUUACUUUGAAAAAUUACUACCCGCGACAGACACAUCCGUACAUUCAUUCAUUCACAGCAUUCUUGUCGGCGCAAUUUAUUCACCCUCCAUUUCAUUUGAUAAUUUAUACAAUAAAAAUAAUAUAUAGUGAAACUUUUAAAUAUCGAUAUAUGUUAAAAAAAUAUUAUUAGUUAAAUUAUCAAUACUUUUUAAAAGUAUUGUUAUAUAUGGAAUCACUAUAUGUGAGGCCGCUUCGAUAUUUGGCAUCCACUUCUCUAGCAACAUGUGACGAAGGGAUAUGUGGCGAUCGUAACCCUCUACGAUUCCUACAAGAUCCUCGCGAUUGAACUCUACCUGCUGGAACCCUUUCUCGUCAGCUACUGCGGCGGCAGAGGAGGAGAAGGAGAGAUGGUGAUCAUUUUUUUUUCUUUUUUGUUUGUAAUUAGGCCGAGUGGACUGGAUGCGUUGGGUUGAAUAGAAGAAUUUUUUGUUUUUGAUUGGAUUAAGUUUUAUAUUUAAGUCUUAGUAGAUUUUUUUAAAAAAAUAUUGGCAUAAAUAGAAUACUUACAUUAAAAAUGUUUAAAAAAUAUAUCUUUAUUAUAAUUUAAUUCUAUUGCAGUGUUAUCUUCAAAUAAAUAAUAAAAUUUUUCUAUCUAUGAACUGGAUGGUUGAACAGAAGUAAAGAUAUGUGUUGACUAUAUAUAUAUACAUCUCGUACCGGGUGCAUAUACGUUCAUAGAAAUUUUCUGAUGCAAAUAAAAUAAUUUAAAAAGUAAAUAAUAAAAUUAAAAAGAAAUAGUCAUUUUGAAAUAGCUCAAAGUUCAUAUUGGUUUGGAACAUCUUUACCUAAAUUCGAAGCAUUUUAAUAGAAAAUAUAUAUUGUGUAAUCAUGCUCACAUACCCAGCUAAGAGCGCAUUGAGUAGGACAGUGGCUCCCACGGCCAACCCAGCCAAUUCUCCAAUCUGAACAAGUGAAAAUGUCACGAGCUUAAUUACUGAGGAAUACUAACUGACAAAUAUAUUUUUUUUGAAACAGAUAGAUAGUAUGCUACCCGAUUCGUUUAUUUCAUUUAGAAAUAAAUUUAGUUGGACAAAUUUUGACAUGCUCUACCUAGUCAAUUAGCAUUGAACAAUUAAUGAUCCAAAUAAAUAAUUUUUUAAAAAAUAAAGGGAUAAGGCUUUUGUAUUAAUAAUAUAUUAUUUUAAUUAUCAGCGCACAAACAGAAUAAGUACGAGUUUAAAAUUUGAAAAAAAAAAAGGGGUAAGCCAACUAACUGCAUGAGGCUUCUUGUAUUAUUGUUGUGAUUGUUUCAUGUAAAUGAAGAGUUAAAUAAACUAUCUCACAACUUUAGCACGACAGUAUAUGGUCAAACUUGAUUUUUUUAUUUUUUUGAAAAAAAAAUAAUAUACUACCAUUUCAUUCAAUAAAAAUAUAAACUUAAUUAACAAUAAAAUUACGGCAACAAAGCUACAGAAAAAUAAACAAAGAAAAACAGGAAAGAAAAAGUAAAAAGCAAGAAGAAAGAAGAGAGAAGAAGAAAGAAGAAACACCCAACCACAUUCCGAAAAAUUAAUGAACUCCGUGCCAAUCCCACAACCUCUCAAGCUCUCUAAAUCCCAACCAACAGCUAGGCUAAUUUUUUUAUUAUAGAAAAUUCGUCUCUUCCUCUUCCGACGCACAACCAACGAGGUGGUAUAGCUAUAGUCGGUAAUUCCUUUCUAUGGAAGGUACCCUACACUAAAUGUUUCGUCUCCCAAGGAUGAUUAACCAAGGUGAGCAGCAAUAUUGCGCCCUUGCUGACAAGACACUUCAACAGCACUUUAAUAGCUGCAUAGUGGACAAGCAGAUGGUCUAUUAUCUCUGAAUCUUCGGAAUAGAGUGUUAGUUAUAUGCCCAAAAGUAAAUCUGUUGACACUGGCUAAACGGUAUUUAUGUAUUAAUCAUUUAUAACUCAUAAUAUAAUUAUAGAUAUUUUAUUCAUGUUUAUUGUAUAGUAGUGCAAUAUUGACGUGAGUCGUCCAUGUAUAGAGUUUUUAUUUGAAAAGACAUAUUUCUAAAAGUUAGAAAUUUAAGAUAUAUACUUUUCUGUACGAUAAUCUUUAAAUGCUCCUAACUAGAGAAAUAUUAUAAGGACGGUGAUAUUCUGGAUAGAGCGGUGUAUGUUAUUUUCUAAUUGAGGUGACGAAUUUGAAGUCACUACUGUAGGGACAUUAGAACAAGCACACAAGUGCUUGUUAGAGAACAAGUACACUGAGCGUGACCAUUUAGUUGAACAGUCACAUGGUUCCAUACUCGUCAGUGACAAGUUCAUUGCUAUAGUUGUGUGAAGUACUCCUCAAACCUAAGGUAUCAUAGUUGUUUCACAUAUAGGUUGCUACUGUUUGAUAGUAUUAGUAUUAGUAUUUAGAUUCUAGACACAGGUUUAUAUUCGGUACUGAUUAGCUGUAGUUGUAGUACACUGAACUUUAGCAAAUUGUAAGAUUCUAGUGUAAGAAUAGUGUUUUAUACUAUUAUGCAUGUUUUGAGGGUUGUCUAUGUGGUUUCUGCCUGUUUCUGGAGCUUAUUAGGCACGAGAACGUACUCUCGACAUCAAAAUCUGCAAAGUGCAAAUUUCAGUGUUGAGUACUGAUACUAGAGAUUGGUACCGGUACCCUGUACAGUGCCGAAAUAGGUUGCUCUCAGAUUUGAGAUUUGGGGUGUUGAGUACCGGUACUGGGUGUUGAGUACCGGUACUGCAUCGCACGAGUACCGGUACACCGUAUUAAACCCGAAUGUUUUGCGCUCGGGUUCUGUAUGCCUGAGGGCCAGGUACCGGUACUCCCAUUCGAGUACCGGUACUCAAUGCAGAAAACUGCAGUUCGUGCAGUUUAUAAUUUUUGAAUUUUUAUGGGGUCUUAAGAGAAUUGUUACAUCAGGUAUAUGACUCCCCCUUUCCCCCACAUGCCUCCCUUUGUUCUGAGGCUUGAGAGAGCUGGAGGUUGGUUUUUCUUCAUUUCUCUUUUUAGGAUUUCUUCCUCAAACUCUUUUAGAUAUGGGUUUUGAUCACUUUUCUUCUUCCUUUGUAUGGUGGCUAGCUACUUGAUCCUUAAAGGAGGCUUGGAAGUGAAGAAGAGAGUUUGUUUGAGAAUAUAACUCCAACUCUAACUUGGUUUAGAGCUUUCUUUAAGGUUAGUACUUUUCUUGCAACAUUUACUUGUGAAUUUUGCAAGAUUUGUAGAUGAAGACCUAGUUUUGAAAAAACUAGGGUUUAUUUUGGAGUUUCUUGAUUUUGAACCUUUGGAGUUAAAUUGAUGAGUAUAGAACUCUCUUUUAGGUUGGAUUUAAAAAUUUGUAGCUUCGAUUUGGACUUUGGAUAAGUUCUUCUUGGGUAAAAGUAUUUUUUGACCUAUUUUAGACUUAAUUUUUGAUUAUUUUCGUGAGAGGUUUGUCAGAAGCUUGUAACUCUCUUAGAAAUUCUCUUAGGAUACUAGAAGCUUGGUGAACAAUUUCAUUCGAAGGAACGAAAUGCUUUGAAGGGUAUCCAGUCGGUUUGACCUCGCCGAAAUGGGUGAACUCCCUCUAUAUCUUUAACAUUGUUUUUAGACCUAAUUAGAUGCAUAUUCAUACUAGAUAUGACGUGAGAGAAUUUUUGAAUACAUGCUUCAUAUAUGUUAUGUAUAGAAAUUUUUAUGCUCUAUGAAGUAGAGACUUACAAUGUGGACAUAUAUAUUAAAUAGUAUAUUAUGAUGAUUCCUCUUAUCCUAUGGAUUAUACGUAGUGAGAACGGAAUAGAAAGGGGUUAAGCUUGCAUGAUAACCAAUAUACUUGUUAUAAACAAGGUGAAUGUGAUAUAGUGCAUGGUAGUGACAAAACAUGAAACUAAGUAUGUUAUACUUAACCUAGUUGAACAAGUAGAACUUGACAUUGUGACAUAAUAUUCGAUCUCUAGAUCGCUAGUUGACAUUCCCUAUUUUAGACAUGAUGAACAAGAUCCUUAUGUUGUUGAUCACGGUUGCUUGCCAUUGUGCUCAUUCGCACAAGCUUGUGAGGGUUCCUACAAGCCAGCAUUCCGGAGUUGGCCUAUGCGAUAUCAUGCUUGUCCGUGCAGGAUUGGGCGUCAAAGUGGAUUGCCAUGGGCGAGGCUCAUUCCUAGCGUAGGAAUGAUGACUACCAUGGGCCAUUAGGCACAGCACAAGCCGGGACUUUACCUUGUGUAAGUUCUUGUUGAUUUGGAUAACUAUAAUCAAACUUAAUAUAGACUUCACUACUAGAUAGUGCUUGACAUUUGGACAUAUACAUUAGUCGCAUUUUUGUUCAUUUAUAUGAUAGAACAGUUUCAUACAUGUUAAAUAACAUUGUUAUUUGGAGGCAUAGUAGUAUAUGAAUUCCUUUAAUUCUUGCAAGUAAUCAUGUUAUAAUAUUAGUAUUCCUACUCUUACCUCAGUUGACCUAAUGGUGUAAUUCGCGUUUCUCGGCGGCUUACCCACUGGGAACUAUUGUUUAAUAGUUCUCACCCCUAUGUAUUUGUUGCUUUUGUUUCAGAGCCUUCCACAGUGGGUGAGGCUCGGGAUCGCGGCAAGGGAGUCAUGACUAGCUAGAUCGUUGGGAGAUAUAUUUAUAGGCAGACACCUUUAUUUUUGUUUUAGUUGGGAGAGGUGUUGCGAUCUAUUUUGUAUAGAAACCACCAUACGAAUGUGUGAUGUAUUCUUUUGGAUUAUACCUUGGUGUAUUUUUUGGAUAGUUGCUUUCUUUAUUGUAUUACUUGUUGUUAUAUUCUAGUUGUAGUUUAUUUGCUCAGUUUAGCACUUAUGCUCUAAUUACCAUGCUAGGACUUUAUUCCUUGUCAUUUUCAUUGAAUGCUUUAAUGUAGACGCCUUGUGUCCACUGGAGAUGCCUUGUGCAUACGGCGGGUCUGUGCACGUGCCGGGUAGGAUCCGCUGGGAUCCGGGUGUGACAGAUUAUAUUGGUAUCAGAGCCUAGGGUUGAGUCUUAGUGGACCUAGAAAAUCUUACGCCGGUUGGACUAUAAGAAAUAGGUUCGUGAGAGACGGGAUCUAUCUAAUUUUUGAGCAAAAGUAUAUUGAUUGGGUUAUAACUUUAACUCCAAACGGUUGGGGUUUGAUUGAAAUGUGCAACUACUAACACCUUGGAAGGUCACGUUGGCGGCUGACAACGUGACAUUGGAGAUUAGUUGAAGGGCUCACUUCACUACUUUCGCAUGAUUGGGGCUUUGCUCCUAUGAGUGGGGUUGCGUUGGCGUGGGUUUUACUAACUUGCGCAUUGUUAUCUUUGUUGUAGCUUGCGAUGCCAACGACUCGCUCUAGGUCAACCGGGGCGAAUGAAGCGGCUAAUUUUGAGCAGGUGGAAACCUCCGCUACCUCCGGAUCGAGUGAGGUCCGUGAGUUGAGAGACCAGUUAGCUUCAUUGGCGGACUUGGUAGCGCAGCAAUCCGCGGCGGCUCUCCAACAAGUAGAAGUAGCGUGCCGACAUGAGGCAAGGAUGAAGCGGUUGGGGGACUUGCUACUUUAGCAGGCUGUUACCAGGGUGAUCCAGGAUCCACCACCGCCAACGCUGGCAGUUGAUGCGACCACGAGGUCACAAUCACCAGUGCCUGGCACUUCCUGUGCAGCGCAGAGUAUCGAGCCUGGGAAGGAGGUAGUAGUGACACCGCCAAUUCAGAUGCCCACGGCAAGGACAGUUUUCCCUAUGAUGGUAUCUGGAGAGGAGCGGGACCGAUUGAUGGAUCGCCUUAAUGAAUUCUAGAGGUGCAAUCCCCGGAUCUUUAACGGAAAAAGGGCAGACCAUUAGAUAGUAAAGAAGUGGUUGAUGCACAUGAAAAAGUUAUUUUAUGAUACCUUUGUCGAGGAGCGGGAUAGGGUUCGGCUCUCCACCCACUACUUGGACGGCAAGGCCUAUCGAUGGUGGACGGACAUUAGCGAUGAUCCCAACACCGACUUUACGAUAAUUAUUUGGAAGCGGUUCAACAAACUGUUGCUAUCGGCGUACUUCCCGCAAAGCGUCAAGCUACAAAUGGAGAGAGACUUGCACAGUUUGCGCGAGGGGGAUCGGACUGUGGCAGAGUAUGAGCGAGAGUUCUCCCUACUCCUGCAUUGUGUGCCCUUUGUAGUGAGAUAUGAUGAGGAUAAAGCCCGUAUCUUUGAGGUGGGUUUUUGACCGUCGAUAUUCAGAUUUGUUCAGUCGUUAAAUUUACAAACCUACCGAGAAGUGGUGAACCGCGUGCUUAUUGUGGAGAAAGGCGCGGAGAUUACCAAGGAACAAAGGGAAACUUUUGAGCAAGGGGAAGGAAAGAGGUAUGCGGCCGAGGGUAGCAACCAGACGCACUCUAAGAGGCCGCCGAAGCACCCGAGGAACCAGUCUCGAGGGCGUGGCUCUAUUGCGACGUGAGAAGCAUCGGAUUAUCGCCGGGCAUCGCGUUGUACGAUCUAUGGUGGUCCUCACUUCCCACCGCAGUGUCCACAGCGUGGGGGCAAGUGCUUUCUUUGUGGCCAGAAGGGCCAUUUCCGUUUUGAGUGCCUUAGGGGUUCUAUUCCAGCGCCGUCAUCUACGUUAGCAUUUGCUUCACCGGCUCUAAGCCAUGGGACUCCAUCGACCCAUUAUCAGACGGGACGAUCGCCGGUUCAGCGACAGGUUGAGGGUUCGCGACAGGCAACGAGUGGGCGUAUGUAUGUUGCCUAGACUGCGGAGGCAGCAGCAGCGGAGGAGGUCGUUGCAGGUAUCAUUUUAAUUAAUAACAUCAGAGUUCAUGCAUUAUUUGAUACCGGUGCAUCAUAUUCAUUCAUUGAUCGGCUAUUUGUCGAGCUGCAUGGCAUUGAACUUGUACCUACCUUACAUCCGGGACGAGUUAUUAUACCCGAUCAUAUCUUGGACAUUCGGGAGUUUUGCCCUAGUUGCUCUAUUAGGGUAGGGGAUUGGAUUAUGCUUAUUGAUCUUUUAGCUCUAGACAAAUUUGGAGAGUUUGAUGUGGUUUUGAGCAUGAAUUGGCUUACGAAAUAUUAUGCCACUAUCGACUGUAAGAAUCGGAUUGUAAUAUUACAUGAACUGGGUCAUGAUGAGGUCGUGUACAGGGGCUGUAAGAGUUCAUUGUUUGCGAUGACUAUAUCUUCUGCGCGGGCUAAGCAGUUGAUUAAGAGUGGUUGUGUAGCCUUUUUGGCUAGCAUCGUCAUAAGGGAUGGAGAUAUCCUUAGGAUUGAGGAUAUUCCGAUUGUGCGGAAAUUUGUGGAUGUUUUUCCGGCUGAGUUACCGGAUAUGCCUCCUGAUAGGAAGAUUGAAUUUGUGGUAGAUCUUGUCCUUGGCACUACCCCAAUCUCAAAAGUACCUUGUAUGAUGGCACUCGCCGAAUUGAAGGAGCUGAAUGCACAAUUACAGGAUUCGUUGGAGAAGGGUUUUAUUAGACCGAGUCAUCGCCUUGGGGAGCGCCGGUUUUGUUUGUUAAGAAGAAGAAGAGAUCACUUCGACUAUGUGUGGAUUAUCGUGAGCUUAAUAAGGUCACGAUUAAGAAUAAGUAUCCAUUACUGAAGAACGAUAAUUUAUUUGAUCAACUUCAAGGAUCAAGAGUGUAUUCCAAGAUUAAUUUGUAAUCUGGGUACCAUCAGCUCAAGAUCAAGUCUGAGGAUGUUCCAAAAACGACUUUUCGAACACGGAAUGGACAUUAUGAGUUUACCGUUAUGCCGUUUGGACUUACUAAUACCCCAACAGCUUUUAUGCAUUUAAUGAACCGUGUCUUUAAGCCAUAUUUAGACAGAUUUGUCGUGAUAUUUAUCGACGACAUCUUAGUGUAUUCCCGAAGCUACGAGGAGCACGAGGAUCAUUUUGGGCAAGUGCUGUAGGUGCUUCGUGAAAGAAAGCAUUUUGCUAAGUUGAAGAAAUGUAAGUUUUGGCUCGGCGAAGUAGCAUUCUUGGGACAUGUAGUUUCGGGAGCUGGUAUAGCGGUGGAUCCUAAGAAGAUCGAAGAGAUUAAGGAUUGGCCUAGACCAACGAAUGUUACUGAGAUACAGAGUUUUCUCGGUUUAGCUGGGUACUACCAAAGGUUUGUUGAGGUAUUUGCUAAGUUAUCUACUCCCCUCACAAGGCUCACACAUAAAAGAACCAAGUUUAUUUGGAAUGAUGUGUGUGAAAGGAACUUCUUGGAGUUGAAGGAGCGUUUGACAACCGCCCCGAUUUUGACCCUACUGGUUUCGGGAGAAGGAUAUGUGAUUUAUAGUGAUGCUUCACUUAAUGGUUUGGGUUGUGUUUUGAUACAGGAUAGAAAGGUGAUAGCUUAUGCCUCUCGCCAACUGAAGGAUUAUGAAAAGAACUAUCCGACGCAUGAUUUGGAAUUUGCGGCCGUAGAUUUUGCUUUAAAACUAUGGCAUCAUUAUCUUUAUGGCAAACGAUGUAAAGUUUAUACGGAUCCCAAAAAUACAAAUUUUCACUCAUAAAGAGUUGAACUUGAGGUAGCGAAGAUGGUUGGAGCUACUCGAGGACUAUGAUUUGACUAUCCUCUACUACUCACGUAAAGCUAAUGUAGUGGCGGAUGCCCUUAGUCGCAAAUCAAUAGAAAAUUUAGCAAUGUUGAUUGUUACUCAGCCACCGUUACUAGCAGACUUGAGAUGGUUGGAUUUGGAGGUGGUAGCACUCGACACACCUUUAAGGUUAAUGUCUUUGGUCGUUCAACCUACCUUGAUAGAAAGGAUUAAAGAAAAGCAAGCCCAAGACUUGGAGUUGCAAAAGAUUUGAUCCAAGAUUGAUGAUGGACACGCCGAUAACUUUUAUUUGGAUGAUCAAAGAAUGCUUUGAUUUCAUAAUCGAAUUUGUGUACCAGCGGAAUUGGAGAUUACGAAAGAAAUUUUAAUGGAAGCUCGCCGAGCACCCUACACGUUACAUGCGGGGGGUACAAAAAUGUAUAAGGAUUUAAAGUUGCAAUAUUGGUGGCCCAGAAUGAAAAAAGAUGUUGGAGAGUUUGUGGCUACAUGCCUAACUUGUCAACAGGUAAAAGCUGAGUACCAACUUCCUGCAGAAAAAUUGCAAAGUCUACCAAUACUCGUGUGGAAAUAGGAGAAGAUCACCAUGUACUUCGUUGUGGGCUUGCCCCACUCACAAGCCGGGCAUGAUGGGAUUUGGGUGAUCGUGGAUAGAUUAACAAAAUCUGCACAUUUUGUUCCUAUUCACAUUACUUAGACAAGAGAGAAGCUCGCACAAGUAUAUCUUGAUGAGAUUGUGCGACUUCACGGAGUGCCUACAUCUAUUGUAUCGGAUCGAGAUCCUAGAUUUGUAUCGCAUUUUUGAAAAAGUCUCCAUGAGACAUUAGACACUCGACUUGAUUUCAGCACUGCAUUCUACCCUCAGAGUGAUGGACAAUCGGAACGCACUAUUCAGAUCCUGAAAGAUAUGCUUAGAGCAUAUGUUAUGGACUUCCAAUGUGGAUAGCAUCAGCAUCUACCCAUGGCGAAAUUUGCUUAUAACAACAGUUAUCAAGCAAGCAUUAAGAUAACGCCGUUUGAAGCCCUCUAUGGAAGAAAGUGCUGAUCACCUCUUCAUUGGAGUGAGAUAGGUGAGAGAUGGGUUUUGGGCCCUGAUGUGCUACUAGAAGCCGAGGAUAAAGUUCGUCUUGCUUGAGAACGACUGAUAGCGGCUCAAAGUAGACAGAAGAGGUAUACAGAUAAGCGUCAACGAGACUUGAAAUUCCAAGUGGGAGAUCAUGUCUUUUUGAAAGUCUCACCGACAAAAGGAGUAAAGAGAUUUGGUAUUCGAGAGAAGUUGAGCCCACAAUUUAUUGGACCUUUUGAGAUUUUGGAGCAUGUAGGCUCGGUAGCGUAUCGGCUUGCCCUACCGCCGAACCUAUCAGGAGUACACAAUGUGUUUCAUGUUUCCACGCUCCGAAAGUAUGUUUUUGAUCCAGUUCAUAUAUUGGACAUUGCUCCGGUGGACUUACAUAAGGAUAUGAGCUUUGAAGAGCACCUCGUGAGGAUUUUGGCUCGUGAGGUGAAGUAGCUCUGGAAUCGUGAGAUUCCUCAUAUGAAAGUGUUUUGGAGCAAUCACGAAGAGCGCGAGACUACCUAGGAGUUGGAAAGCGUACUUCAGGAGCGUUAUUCCCAUCUCUUUUAGAUGGAUUCUUGAGGUACUUGACUUUAGUUUUGCGGACGAAACUCCUUUUUAGGAAGGGUGAAUGUAGUACACUAAACUUUAGAAAAUUGUAAAAUUCUAGUGUAAGAAUAGUAUUUUAAACUAUUUUGGAUGUUUUGAGGGUUCUCUGUGUGGUUUCUGCCUAUUUCUGGAGCUUAUUAGGCGCGAGAACGGGCUAUCGACAUCAAAAUCUGCAAAGUGCAGAUUUCAGUAUUGAGUACCGGUACUAAAGGUUGGUACUGGUACCCUGUAGAGUGCCGAAAUAGGUUGCUCUCGGGUUUGAGAUUUGGGGUGUUGACUACCGGUACUAAGUGUUGAGUACCGGUACUAUGGCUCGGUACCAGUACUGCAUCGCACGGGUACCGGUACACCGUAUUAAACCUGAAUGUCUUGCGCUCGAGUUCUAUAUGCUUAAGGGCCGGGUACUAAUACUCCCAUUCGAGUACUGGUACUCAAUGCAGAAAACUGCAAUACGUGCAAUUUAUAAUUUUUGAAUUUUUGUGGGGUCUUAAGGGAAUUAUUACAUCAUGUAUAUGACUCCCCCUUUCCCCCACAUGCCUUCCUUUGUGCGGAGGCUUGAGAGAGGUGGAGGUGGGUUUUUCUCCCUUUCUCUUUUUAGGAUUUCUUCCCCAAACUCCUUUAGAUUUGGGUUUUGAUCUCUUUUCUUCUUUUUUUGAAUGGUGGCUACCUACUUGAUCCUUGAAGGAGGCUUGGAAGUGAAGAAGAGAGCUUGUUUGAGGAUCUAACUCUAAUUCUAGCUUGGAUUAGAGCUUUCUUUAAGGUUAGUACUUUUCUUGCAACAUUUACUUGUGGAUUUUGUAAGAUUUGUGGAUGAAGACCUAGUUUUGGAAAAACUAGGAUUUAUUUUGGAGUUUCUUGAUUUGAACCUUUGGGGUUAAAUAAAUGAGUGUAGAACUCUCUUUUAGGUUGGAUUUGAAGCUUUGUAGCUUCGAUUUGGACUUUGGACAAGUUCUUAUUGGAUAAAAAUAUUUUUUCACCUAUUUUAGACUUAAUUUUUGGGUAUUUCUGUUGGAGGUUUGUUAAAAGCUUGUAACCCUCUUAGAAAUUGGUGGACAACUUCGUUCGAAGGAACGAAAGGGUUCGAAGGGUAUUCGGUGGGUUUGACCUCGCCGAAAUGGGUGAACUCCCUCUAUGUCUUCAACAUUAUUUUUAGACCUAAUUAGAUGUAUAUUCAUGCUAGAUAUGACAUGAGAGAAUUUUUGAGUACAUGCUUCAUACAUGUUAUGUAUAGAAAUUUCUAUGCCCUAUGAAGUAGAGACUUACAAUGUGAAAAUGUAUAUUAAAUAGUAUAUUAUGAUGAUUUGCUCUUAUGCAAUAAUAAAAAGCAUGUUAGAGAUGAAUGUUGGUUUAUCCUAUAAAUUAUACAUAGUGAACGGAAUAAAAAAGGGUUAACUUGUAUGAUAACCAAUAUACUUGUUAUAGAUAAGAAAAUGUGAUAUGGUGCAUGGUAGUGACAAAAUAUGAAACUAAGCAUGUUAUACUUAAUCUAGUUGAACAACUAGAACUUGACAUUGUGACAUAAUAUUCGAUCUCUAGAUCGCUAGUUGACAUUCCAUAUUUUAGACAUGAUAAACGAGAUCCUUAUGUUGUUAAUCACGCUUUCUUGCCAUUGUGCUCAUUUGCACAAGCUUGUAAGGGUCGUUUCCCUAUAAGCCGGCACUCCGGAGUUUGCCUAUGCGACAUCAUGCUCGCCCGUGGGGAUUGGGCAACGAUGACUACUACGGGGCCAUUAGGCACGGUGCAAACCGGGACUUUACCUUGUGUGUGUGUGUGUGUUUGUAUACCUAUGAAUGUGAAUUAAAAAAAAAAGCCGUAUGGUAUUAUAUGCUAUACGGAUGGAGCUACUUUAAUUAAGGUGCCAUGCACCUUAAUUAAAGCGAUUCAUAAUGGUAUUUGAUGCAUAUACAUAUAGAGAUCAAUCUCUCUUCGAUUUCUCUUCCACGUGUGUGUUUCUAUUCGAUCAAAUUCUCUACUCUUCAUCGAUUAGUGAAUCAUGAAGGGAUUGCUAACACCGCCCAGAUGGUCCGUGACUCAUCUAGUUUGUGAGAUGAAAAUCGAUCGGGUAUACGCUGAUUCCAUGUAGACACGCAUAUAGACCGGACACGUGUGCGGCUAUACUAGAACCUCAAAGCAAUGAUUGAAACUUACAAUACCAACCAUACAGUAAUUCAAGAGAUCUUUUCUGGUCCGCGAUAGGAUAUCUAAACAUAAAGAGUUUUCGUUUAGAUUAAAUUUUUGUAUAGUAACAUGAGAAUGAUUCGCCGGCAAUGGUUUGAUUUAUUGAUUUUCGGUUAUCAUAUAUGAUAUGUAUUUGGUUUUCGAAAAAUUUUAAAAUGCAAAAUUAUCUUCCGCUACGUUUUUCUGAUGUGCCGGUUAAUUUCUUAUAGAGAGCACACACGUGCCCUCUCCCUACUACCCUCUUUUACACAGGUUCUUAAUCGCGAGAAUUUUACGCUUAAGUACUAAUCUAGGAGGAUUUUGACUCUAAGCAGCACCAAAACCUUCGAAAACUGGGAAGCAGAAGGAUCUCUAGCUCCCCCGUAUGGUCAAACUUGAAUAUUGCGGGAUAUAUUUGAAGUGGCUAGUAACUUACAGCUCUAUUGUCGGUGGCGACUCCGGCGAGGACGAACAUCAGGAAGAAAGUGAUGAUAAACUCGAGGACGAGAGAUUGGACGUUGGACCCCGUCGGGAUUGUCCCGAAGAAGCGGUUGUGCCCGCCGCCGAACAACAAACGCACCGUUCCGCUGGCGAGUGUCGAGCCCACUAGCUGGGCUAUGAUGUACAUUGGCACCUGCAUCAGUUGAAAGCAAUCGCAAAGUGAUUACAACUUGGUUGUUGAAAGAGUAAGCAAUGUUCUAGUGUAGCAUAUUACAACAAAACUGUUGUAUAGCGAUACUUUUAAAUAUCGGUACAGGUCAAAAUGCUACUGGCUAUUACCAAUACUUUUUAAAAGUGUUACUAUAUGUGGGGUCGCUAUAUGUAAGGCCGCCUUGAUGCUUGGCACUCACUCCUACAAGGACUUGUGGCGGAGGGACACGUGGUGAUCGUAGCUCUCUACGGUCCCUGCGAGAUACUCACGGCCGAACUCCAGCCGCCAGAACCCUACCUCGUCGACUGCGGCGGCAGAGGAGGAGAAGGAGAGAUGGCGAUCAAUUUUUCUUUUCUUUUUCUUUUUUAUUUGUAAUCGGGCCAAGUCGGCUGAGUGGAAUUGGUUGAGUAGAGGAAUUUUUUAUUUCUUAUUGGAUUGGAUUUUAUAUUUAGGCCUUAGUAGAUUUUUAAAAAAAGUUUAAGCAUAAAUGAGACACUUACACAAAAGAAUCCCAAAAAUAUGUCCCUAUAACCUAAUUCUGUUGUAGUAUCACCAGAUCUAAGACGCGCCAUUUUAAACAACUUUUCUAUUAGAAAAAGUAAAACUCAAAAUUUUGUAAAAAUAUUUAUAUGAAUAUGUUAUAUAGAAAUGUAGGAUAAAUUAACCUGUUUCCAUGGAAACCUUCCGCAAGAAGCAAAGGCGAUAGUUAUAGCAGGGUUGAUAUGGGCGCCAGAUAUGUGCCCGACAGAGUACACCACGACCAUGACGGUGAGCCCCCAGACGGUGCAUACACCGGGAAAAGUCACGGCACCCCCCUUGCUCAAAUCCACGGCCACCACGCCGCACCCGGCGAAAAUCAAGAAAUAUGUACCAAGUAUCUCCGCAAUGAUCUGCAAAAAACAGCGAAAAAAAAGAGAACAAAUGAUUAAAUAAUUUUAAAGAAAUGACAAACAAAAUAUUAAAAACAUAUAAAAUAUAUAAAAUAAAAUGUCAACCGUAAUGGUGAUAUAUAAAUAAAGGAAAAUUUUACUCCUACACCCCGAAAGGAGUGUAGGAUAUACACGCGACCCAUUCAAGAGUAAAAUGUACUCUGCUAGUCACAUCAAUGUGACUAGCGGAGUACAUUCUAAUUUUGGAUGGAUGGAAUGUAUAUCAUGUGACUAGCGAAGUACAUCCCCAUUCUUGGAUGGAUGGAGUGUAUAUCCUAAACCCUUUUGGGGGCGUAGGACUAGCAUUGCUCACACAUAAAUGUGCCAAUAGCCGACUGUGAUGGGUUUAUUUGCUGGCCAACUGCCUAUUCUUGUGUUACUUGAAUGCACUUUACUCUCGGUUUGGCUUGCUGUGCGGUAUUUUUGAUUGUUUCAACAUAAUCAGAAAUUACAUUUUUCAAGAAUCAGAUUAUGACUAAUAUUAUAUUAGGUUUGAUUGGGUAUUAUAAUAAUUUAAUAACGGAUUACUGCACAUAUAAGAUUACCGUAUUUGAUUUGUCUUAUAUAUUUUAUUAAUUAUGACAGUAAAGUUUAUUUGCACGCAAAUUCACUUGAAAUUUGAAUGUAAAUUUUAUGUAUAAUUUUAAAUUCAAAUUUUAAAUUUAAAAAUAAAUGUUGGUUCAAUUUUUAGAUUCAAGUUCUAAUUUCGAGAUAGAAUUUUAAAUUUAAAUUUUUUAUUUUGAAAUCAAACUAUGAAUUCAAAUUCUAAAUUCAAAUUCAAAAAUUGAAUUCAAUAUCAAAUUCAAAUUUCAAAUUUAAAUUUAUAUUUUAAAUUUGAAUUCAGAUUUUCAAUUCAAUGUUCAAAAUCAAAUUUAAAUUGAAAAUUUAUAUUUUGGGUUCAAACUUAGAUAUCUUAUAUAAAUGAGAAAUUAAAUUUUGAAUUUUCUUUUGAAUUUAAAUUUGAGGUAAUUGGAGGGUGGGGAGAGAGACCUUUGGAAUUUUUCCUAAGUUGCGGAUUACCCACAAUUAGUAAUGCAAGAUGCCCGCUGCCUCUUCCGUAAAUUUUUUUGGGUAAUCUUAUACUGGUAGUAAUCAAGUAGAAUUAUAUAUGGGAUGAAUCUCACACAAUAAUUUAAAAAGACUCAUAUUAGCUUUUCACUAAUCCGAAACAAGUGGAUACACAAGAAGUGUCCUUUUUGGCACUAUCUGAAGUAAAAAGAAAUGCUAAGUUUACAUUAAAAAAGGACUUGUAAAAUCUAUAAUCCUUCAUCCAGCAAUUUUAAGAUUUACUAAUUCUUUUUUAUUUUUAGUUUAUUUAAAAGAAGAAGAGUCAUAAGACUUACAGAGAAAAGGUGAAUUUUGGAUGAGAUGCAUGGCUGUAGGUUUAAUUUACAACUCAUUUUGGAUUGUCAGACCAGGCAGUGCUAUUUAAUAAAAUAUUAUCUCGAAGCUAUUAUAUUUGGUUCAAGGUUCGUGGUACACCAAACAGUGUUAUUUAGAGCCUGUUUGAUUCAUAAUUUUAUAAUAUUUUAAUAAUUUAUUAUUUAUUUAAUUAAAAAUUAAAUUAUUAUAAUUCAAUUUAAGUUGGAAAGUUAUUAACCGUGUGAGUGAAAUAGUAAAAUAUUUUAUAAAUUUUAGGUAGUAGAAAGAGUAAUAAAUUAAAUUAUUAUAGAGACUACUAAAAACACGCUAAUUCUUAAUAACAUUUCAAUUUAAAUGGUUUGAUAAGUUAAUAAUAAAUUUGUCAUUUCAAAUAUAAAAUAUAUAAAUUAUAAAUCUUGAUAAGUUUGUGGCAAAUCCAUCUGAACUUACUUUUGUUAAAAUUCAGAAGAGUCCGAAACUUAAGUUUCUAAUUUUUUUAAAAGAACACAAAGAUGAAGAUGAUAGUUAAUGGGUGGAGAGAGAAAGAGAGCGAUAUCAAGAAGUGCUUCACCCACCUUUUGUAUGAAAUGUACAGAGAUUCCUGAGCAACAUCCUUCGCUUUUGGAAAUCUCAUUUGUAAUCUCCUCUCCUCCUCUCGCUUCCUCCAUAGCUCUCUCUCUCUCUCUCUCUCUCUCUCUCUCUCUCUCUCUCUCUCUCUCUCUCUCACACACACACACACACUACCACCCAAAGAAAGUGAGAGACACUAAAAAGAGGCUCUAGCCAAAAAGAGCUACUCCAAGGGUAAGGGAAAAGCCUCAAACUUGGGUUUCUAUUUAUAUUGGCACCAACUAAGAAAGAGGGAGGCAUACGGACCUAUAGAGAUUGAAAUAAGGGACGAAGUGUACUGUAUCACAUUUAUAUUAUAUUAUUUAUAACAAAUUAAUUAUAUUUUUUUAUUUAAAAAAAAUAAUAAAAAUAUUAAUAAUCACGAUGGGACAAAUAAAUACAAAAGAAAUUAUUUGAUUGGUUGAAAAUGUCACGUUACUAAUAUAAUUGGUGUAUUCUGGAAUUUUUCGAAGAAGGGCACAAUACGGCACCAACUAGAGAGUAGAGAUAGAGAAAGAGAAAGAGAUGAUCUAAUAGACUCUCAGCCACUCUUUGCUUUUCUUGAGAGAGAGAGAGAGAGAGAGAGAGAGAGAGAGAGAGAGAGAGAGAGAGAGUAUUUUGAAAAGUUGGCUUAAAAAUUUGAUGGUUGAUAUUCGGUGACAGAUGUAAUUAAUUAAUCCUCAGUGGGGUAUGAGAUCAUUGCAAGAAAAGCCUUCUUGUAUAGUCGACCCUAUUUUGGAAUCAAAUAAGUCUAGAAGCCGUACCCCUUUAUUAGAGAGAAAGACCCAUAUGGGUAUGAACAAAUCGAACUCCCUAACUUUUUUAGUAAAAAAAAAUUUUCUAUGCAGUACUAAAGGCCGAAAAAGACUUGUCUAAUUAAAAAAACCUUGCUUCUUUUACCCCUCAUAAUGUCUCUCUUUAUUCUUUCUCAAUCAUAUUUAAUCUAAUUAAUAUAUUGAGUAAUAGUUGAAAGACCAAACCAAAUCCUAUUUAGGUGCACUACAAAAAAAACGAUCUACAGCGAUACUUUUAAAUAUCGGUAUAAGUCAAAAAAAGUGUUGCUAGUUAAAUUACCGACACUUUUAAAAAGUGUUGCUAUAUAUGGAGUUGUUAGGUAUAUAGUGACAGUUAAAAAGUGUCGUUAUAACCUAAAAAAAGUGCUGCUAAUUUACCAACAUUUAUUUAAACAUUUAGCAAUUGCCGGAACUCUACUUCGUUGGCUGCAGUGGCAGAGGAGGACGAGAGGGAAGAGUUUUUCGUCUAGAAUUUCAGUGGAUUAAGUGAGGGGAGAAUGGGAGAUGAUAAUCGAUUUUUUUUUUCUUUUCUGUUUAUAAUCGGGCCGAAUAAGCUGGGUGGAUUGGGUUGAAUCGAGUAACCUUUUAGUUUUAGUUUGAUUGGCUUUAUAUUUAGGUAUUAGUAGAUUUUUUUUAAAGUUUUGACAUAAAUGGGACACUUACACAAAAGUGUCCCAAACAUAUGUUCCUAUAACCUAAUUCUGUUGUAGUGGUGUUAGUAAAUUUUUUUUCUCUUUUAAUUCUUUAAUUAGGAUGCAAAAUGUAAGGUAUGUAUUUAGGAUCUUUAUUUGAUUUUCUUUAUUUGUGAAUUUAUUCUUUUUAUUUAUGAAAUGAACAAUAGUUGUUUUAUAUCAUUAUAAUAUAUAAAAAUACUACAAGUACAUUAGUAAUUUUUAUUUACUUGUACUUGAUUAGUAUUUUUGUUUGUCAAUAAUUAUUUACUGAUUUAUUUUUAAUAUUUUUGUUAGCCAUUGGCAAAUGAUUAAUUUCUUGUAAUUUGUAAGAAAUUUUCAAAAAGAAAAACCACUUAUAUUUCCUUUCAACACAAUUAGUCAUCUCAAACUCAAGAAAGUGGAAGUGAAAAUAUAAAAGGUCUGAUUACAAUACACAUCAAUCUUCUACUUACUAAAGCGAUGUUGUUUUAAAUAUCUUUUCCAUUGAUCUUGUAGAUAAAAAUAUAUAUAUAUAUAUUAUACCACCAUCCAAACUAUCAUGUCCUGCGAUCGUCAAUUUGGUCGAUCCGGACACGCACACAGACGCCAAACAUACAGAACCUUCCCUAUCCACCCAAGGCUCAACAACAACAACAACAAUCAUAUAUAAGAAAUUAGCCUAGAAAUAAUUUCAAUAUACAUGACUUGCACGAGGGCAAACAACAAGAGCGAGCGAAAGUAAACUAGCUAUUACAUCCAUAUAUUGUAUCUUGAUUACAUUAAACCAAAUACAAGCUUCAUAAUCCGUUACAUUCAUUUCCCCAAAAUACAUCACAUGUCUAUUCAAGUACAUUUACUACAUAUUCUUUACAUAUUUAUUUUCAUCAUAUACAAAAGAUGAAAUACAAAAUGGUACAUCUAUACUCGGGAAGUCCACUACCUAGGGCGCGAUACCCUUGCCGCGAUUCUCGACCGUCCCGCUCGCACUAGGAUUUGCAAGGUUAGUGAGGUGUGUUAGGGAUUUUGUAUUGACAAGUUUCGUGAUUUGAGUCGGAAUCUUGAAGGGUUCGGUUUGUGUUGUUGAAGAUUGAAGAAUCUGAGAUUCCGAAGAACUCGAAAACAUCUCACUGGAUGAAUCACGAUGCUCAGGUAAGUUUUUAAAUGUUUGUAUGGUGAUUCAUAUCUAUUUAUGACGUUAGAAUCAUAUAAAUCAAUGAUACAUGGAAUAGAAGUGGGUUUUGAAACUUUUGAAUUGAUUAUAAUAAUAUUUUUAAUUGAGUAUCGGUACCAGGUUUCAGUUCCUAAAAAUCGUAUUGAAAAAAUUGAGUUUUUAUAUUGUGUACUGGUACCCACAUUUUGUUCCUCAAAACCCGAGAGAUACAAUUCGCAGAAUUGUGUUGUGUACCGGUACCGAGAUCUAGUACCUGUACUACAUCGGCUAUGUACGUACCGAUACUGCAUUGGCCGGUACCAACUCCCGAGUACCAGUACUCAAUGCAAAAUUUCCUAAUUAAGCUUCUAAUCCAACUCUAAUUAAUUCUAAAGUCUACAAAUAAGCAAUUAGGGUUCUCUAAUACGUACAGAAACAUUGAAAAUACAUGCAAGAAUAACCCUAGAGGCUAGGUUUUUUGGUUCUAAAUCCUUUCCACCAUAUAGCCUCUUUUAGCUCAAUUCGAGGUAUUGAAUUCAAUGAUAUAUGUCGAAUUGAUCUAAGUUUUGCUUAGAGAUUUUUCUCUGGUUCUUCAACAACUCUCUAAGCAAAGGAUCACCAUAGAAACAUAAUACUCUUCAUGUGCAUAGUCGUGGAUUCGGCGUGAUCAAGGCGGUUCGUGGAUUCGGAUCGUGGGCUCGUGGAUUCGAGUGACGUUCGUGGAUUCGGAUGUGAGGUGUGGCGUUCGUGGAUUCGAACGUAGGACGUGGACAACCAGGUGACGUGCGCGAGAUCCGUAGGAGGUUAAAGAGAGGUUAACCCCGUGGAGUCUGUAAUCACCUUGCAAUCUUUUUCUCUUAGUGGAUUGUUUUUUCGCGUGUUGGUCCCGUGAGUUUUUCUCCAAAUUGAAUUUUUUCCACAUAAAUCUUGAUGUGCUAUUUUAUUUUUCGCAUUUAUUUUUUAUUGCAUUUAGAUUUGUGUUUUUGGGCUUUACACCUAUUCACCCCCCUCUAGGUGAAAGUAUCUAGAUAGAUCCUUGGGUUUCCAUAACCUACAAUUGGUAUCAGAGCAGGAUCUAGAUUUUUCUAUCAUAACAGGUGAAGGUAGUAACAUUAAUCGACCUCCGCUUUUUGAUGGCACAAACUAUGCCUAUUGGAAGGCUCGCAUGAGAGCUUUUCUAAUAGCUAUCGACGAGUGAGUUUGGCAAUCCAUCGAAUUUGGAUGGAAACAUCCGACUGAAAAGGUCGAGAAUGUUGAAAAGCCAAAACCACGUGAUAAAUGGAAUAAGGGAGAGAUUGAUUCAUCUUCUUACAACGGUAGGGGAAUUAAUACUUUAUUUAACACUUUAUCUCAAAUCGAAUUUUCAUGCGUCUCGGCCUGUGAAACAGCAAAGGAGAUUUGGGGUACUCUUCAAGUUACGCAUGAAAGAACUAGCUUGGUAAAGGUCUAAAAAUUACAAAUAUUAACAAGUAAAUUUGAUUUAAUCUGUAUGGACGAACACGAGAUCUUUACCAAGUACUAUACUCGACUUCAAAAUAUAGUUAAUACAUGCGCGAACUUGGGAGAGAAAAUCCCGGAACCUAAAGUUGUAAUGUAGUACACUGAACUUUAGCAAUUUGCGGAGUUCGAGUGUGGGAUUGCAAAAUGGAACGGCCCUACAGCUUCUAAAGGGCUUAGACAAGUUUUUGGCCAUGUUAGAGGUGGUUUGGAAGGGUAAAAGCAUGAAAGUGCAUUGCUCUGGCGAAAAUCAGGGUUUUCUGCAUUGUGUACCGGUAUAGCCAUCAAUGUGUACCGGUACACAAUGGCAAAAACGUGGCAGCAGGGCUAAUUUGGUAAUUUCACCUCUUGUUCUCAUCUAUUUGAAUCCAGCACGACUCUGAGGGCUCAGUGGAGAUUGCUAGGCUCAGAGAAAGCUUCUUUCACCUUCUCUCUCUCUCUCUCUCUAAGGUUUUUCUCUCUCUACGUAAAAGCCGUCGAUUCGAGUCGAUUUCGCGCUCCGGCCGACGCUCGCUGAUUUGGUACUCAAGGGACGCUUUCAACACGUGGGGAGGAGGACUUUUCUCUGAGUUUUCUGUGAGGUUAGUACCAGAGAAGCUGAAUCUUAGCUUUAGAAAAGGAAUUAGCUCAAUUUCUCUCUAGUUUGUGAUUUAGCAUUGGAAUUUGAUGCGUUUUGGUUUCACUACUUCCAACUGAAUUCGAGGAUGUUUUCAGCAGUAAAGAGGAGUUAUUUUGCCUGUGAAUUAACCACUCUAGCUCAGUAAAAAGUUGCUUUAAAGCUGGACUAAGAUAAUUAAUUAUUUAUGAAGCUAGAAUCGAGUUAUUGAUGCAGUUUGAAAAUUGUGUCUUCACAACAUGGUUUUGAAUCAAGUUGAACUAAAUUGGUGACCUGGGGAACUUGUUUACAGGGUGUUCCAACUAGAGGUAAGCUGAAAUUUCAGUUAGAAAACUGAAUUCGCAUGGUUUCGGCUAUAGGAACUAGUAUACGAGCGUUGUGACGCCGUUUAAUGUUUGCUCACAGCAGGGUUGCGAUCAACCCUUGGAUCGUUUUCAACUGAUUGGUGAGAGCUUUUGGAGACUUAACUUGAGGUAUCUAACGUGACCCAAAACAGGGAUUUAAGUUGCAAUUUAGUACAAUUGAGUAUUUCGCCGAAAUUGGACUUUUAGUCAUCUUUGUGACGCGGUUCUUAUGUUUUAUGUUCAACAGGGUCGAGGCCUAGUUGAGCUAAAUCUUGGAAUUCAUUUGGGCUGCUUUGAGCUUAGUAAUAGGUGGGUUUGACCUAACCAGAAUAAAUGAAGCUCCCCUAUGUUCUAUAUGUCACUAUAUAGGAUCGGUCCAUAAGCGCACUUUUAUGACUUUGUGAGUUAAGGACUUGGAUUAUGUCACCAUAAUGCUUCAUACACUAUUGAAAUGAAUCCUCUAUGUAGUAGAGAGAAAAUCUGUGCAUAAUAUAUUUAUGUCUAUGUAUAGUUCAGUUUAAUAAUUGAUGAACAACUUAAUUAUGCUUUUGCAAAGUACAAUCAUAUGAUGCUCGAGACCAAUGACUUUUUUUGUGACUGCUUUGAUAGUAUCAUGUUAGUGGACAAUUUCCAAUGCCAUAUGUAAACUAGCAUUACUUUCAUAUGCUUACUAGUUUAGUGAAUAACAGUACUUUAUGAUAUUGAGAUUUCAAGCAAUACAUUGAGAACGAGAACACUAAUAUAGCAUGAUGAUUGAAACUAGUUGGGCUAUGGAUUUUGCUUGCUUGCCAUUGUGCUCAUUCGCACAACCCUGUGAGGGUAGCUCCCUACAAGCCGGCACUCCGGAGUUGGCCUACGCGACAGUUGCUCGCCCGUGCGGGAUUAAGUGCCGAAGUGGAUUGCCGUCGGGAGUGGAUACUACCACGGGGCCAUUAGGCGCGGCGCAAGCGGGGUUACUGUAAGGUACCGGACUUCUAAAAUCAUGAAGUUAUGGUGUACGUUGCUUUGGAAAGCCAUUUGGAUGGUUUCGUGAGGUUCGGUGAAGUUCUGGAGCAACCGGGCGUUUCGGUGCGCAUAGGCGCGAAAACGGAGCCGAAAGGCUAGGUUGGGCCGUGAGCUAAAUCCGGCAUUAGCGAGGAUGGAAAGAUGAUGAAAACAUGUUUGAAAACAUGUUUGGAGAGUCUCGGUUCGAUUUGAGACGAAUCGGAGGUCAAACGAACGAAAACGGGCGAAAACGGAGCGAAAACGGACGAAGCUGAAAAUUGGCUAAGUCUGGGCUGGAGGUCUCUCUGGGACCGGUCCCAGGUAGAGAGACCGGUCUCUCAGAGACCGGUCCCUCAUGUAGAGACCGGUCCCCGAACCCCGAAAAUGCCCAGUUCGGGCUGUUGCAAGNAAAUGUUGAAAAAAUCCUCUCAAAUCUCAAAUAGAAGUUAGAGCACUCCAAAACCAAACUAAAGGAAGAUUCUAAACCAAUCAAUUGAGCACCAAAAUCUACAAAUCAAAAAUCUCCAAAUAAAUCCUAGAUUUCUCAUUUCUAGGGUUUCUACACAAAAUCUUCAAAAAACAUGAUUCAAAUGAGAGAAACAUAUUCCUAACCUCUUUAGAAGCUCCAAACUAAACUUGAAAUGAGUUAGGGUUGAAGAUCUCUCCUCCAAUAAGCUCCAAUCCAAGCUCCAAAGCUUCUCCCAUGGUGGAAAUGCCACCAACAAACAAAGGGAAGCAAAAUGAGGUGUUUAAUCCUCAAAAAUUCCAACAAAAUGGAAAGGAAAUCAAGGGGGUGAGGAGGGCUUCCCUACCUGGUUCUCCUCUGUCUUCAAGCUCAGGGAACACAGGAGGGGGCGUGGGUUACAUAUAGUGUUGUAACAAAAUCAAAAACAUCCCUCAACAACAAGCACUUCGCAGUCUGCACUACGUAUCGGUACGCGGGCUAGAGUACCGGUACCCCGCAUCCGAGCUCGCCAAACCCGAGCCUCAGUCAGGCGAGAAAACACACUACGUACUGGUACCUGCACGAUGCAGUACCGGUACCAGGUCUAGUACCGGUACCAGGUCUAGUACCGGUACUCGGGUAAUGCAGUGCCGGUACUCUGUGUAACAUACCAGAUUUUGAUAUAAAAGUAAAAAAAAAUAAAAAUAGUGUGAGGUACUAUUUUUAUUGAAUUUAGAGAAGUAAAAUAUAAGUCGGAAACGACUUGUGCUGAAAUCGAAAUAAAAACAGAAGAUUUAAAAUUUUCUGUGAGAAAUAGAGCUGAUAUUUUAGCAGAAAAUGCACAGUGUCAGAAAAUUAUAAAAACUGGAGAAUAUGUCAGAAUUAUUUUUAUGAGGCUACAUUUAAAGUUUCAUGUCAUUCUGACACCCGGAAGGUGAAAAAUAAAAUCCGACUGCUAUCUGCUAGAGAUUACAGUUCGGUAGAGCUAUCGGUGACCAAAUGUGGUCGAAACUGAAAGAUUAAGAUUUCUUUCGUUAAGUUAAGUAAAACCGAGUCUGACUGUCAAAUUUAAGCUCAAACGGACAUUCAGAAGAGUAAGCAAAAAAUAUUUGUACCUAAGCUAGAGAUGUAAUUUGUAAUAGUGCAUGUAAGGGAUUUAAUCCCUUUCUUUUUCUUCUCCACCAGCCGACUACCACCACCACCAUCACACGUGCAUGGUGAGGGAGAGAGAGAAAACUUUUCUCUUUCUCUCUAGAUUUCUCUCUCAUUGUCACAACCCAAUAAUCCCACAUCGAAUUGGAAGGGGGAUGUGAUUAGAUAUAUAAGAGACUUAGACACUAGUAAUAAUAACUGGGCUUAAGCAUUUUGGGCCGGUGGUUGGGUCCAACGAGUUAUUGUUGCUAGUGGGCUGGGUCGUUACAUUUGGUAUUAGAGCCAAUCACCAGCCGGAAAUGUGUGGCGCCUUUCGGCUGAGUCAGGGUCUGAAAGACAAAGUGAUAGGCUAUGCCGGAGUCUGUAUGACAAGGUGACCGGCUAUGUCAGGGUCUGGAUGACAAGGCUAGCGAGACAAGUCUCACAUCGCUUGGUGAUCUUGGGCUGUGUGUGUGAUUGGACUGACGAGGACGUCAGGGCCUUAACGGGGGGAGUCUAUCACACCCUAAUAAUCCCACAUCGGAUUGGAAGGGGGAUGUGAUUAGGUAUAUAAGAGACUUAGACACUAGUAAUAAUAACUGGGCUUAAGCAUUUUAGACCGGUGGUUGAGUCCAACGAGUUAUUGUUACUAGUGGGCUGGGUCGUUACACACAUCUCUCUAGACCUCUCUCUAGAAAUUUGAGGGUUGGUGGAGAAGAAGCUUGGGAACGCGUUGGAGGUGUCGGUUCGGGUUCUCGUGCGGCCGUUUGAGCGGCGUGCUUCCGUCUCGAUGUUCAAAUUUCGGUAAGUGUUUAGGAUUUGGUUAAAUCCUUUAUACUUAGUAUUCUAAUGAUCCCUAAACUACUAAAUGCAUGUUUCUCUAUGAGAUUGUGGGUCAUUUGGAGUAUAUGUGCAUGCUUAGAAAUGGAGGUUUUGUUUUAUAUGAAGGUUUGAUCAAAAUUAACCCUAUACAAACCUAAUUGAAGGUAUUUCCGACGCGUUGGCGAAGUCAGUUCGGCGAUUCGUGGAGCCUAUGCGAAGUUAUGGAGAAAANGUUCCUGGUUGGAACCAUUGUAAUGUACAUUGUUUGGAUUGCGACGCCUAGAACGUACAGGGGAGACUCUGUCCGCGUACAGGGGAAACCCCGGUCCGUUCGGCGGUCUGUCGGCGUGCCCGAACCGGACCAAAUUGGGAGCGGUCUCGGGGCGUGACAGUUACCCUAUGUAAUCUAAUAUGAAUGCCAUUUAAGUUUGAAAUGACAGUAAUGAUUACUUACUAGCUUAGAGUACAGUAUGUACCUUAUGUUUCUGCUCAUGUUCAUAUUUAUGUUUACAGUGCUUUUAUUAUUCAGUUGAUUCAUUACUGUAGAAUGUAUGAUUACAUGCUGCUUACAUGUUCAUUACUUGUAAUUAUGGAGAUAUGCAUUUACUGCUUUUCCUUUCAUUUAGUACACCAUAAGCCUAGUGGUGUAAUUCGCCGAGGCUGGCGGCUUACCCACUGAAAACUAUUGUUUAAUAGUUCUCACGCCCAUUUUAUUGUUGUUUUUACAGAGCCUGCUACAGGAGAGGCUAGGGAUCGUGGCAAGGGAGUCGCGUCUAGCUAGAUCUAGCAUUGGAGCUUGUUAGAUGAUCACCUUGUUACUCGUGCUGCGGUCGAGGGUGGUGUCCAUUGUAUAGAGAGACUACCACUGUACCCAUUUUUGUGUAUCUUGUGAUGUAUUUGUAGUUGGGAACCAGAGGUUAUAGUUUUGUUACUAUUUUUUGAUGUUGAGGUUUUAACUUGUUCCCUCUUCGUUCUUCUGUUGUUGGACAUAUCGACUUUGCUUUGCUCUGAUAUUAGGAUAGGCUUUUUCUCUGUUUUCUUCCUAUCGAUUUGCUUCUUUGUAGACGCCUUAUAUACUGCAGGUGUAUGGCGGGUCUGUGCACGUACCAGUUAUGCUUCCGCUGGUAACCGAGCGUGACAUGUAAGAAAAAUCCUUCGAAAACUUCCCAAAAGAUUUCGUCCGAAGGUUGCGGCAAUUGAGACUAGUAAACAUCCGGAUGAAAUGAAAGUAGAAGAGUUAGUAGGCGCUUUGUAAACAUAUAAAAUGACAUUUCCUACUAAUCAAUUUUAUUCCAAGUCUUCUCCUAAAAGUGCAGGGGUUGCACUCAAAUCGACAAAGGAGGAAGACGUGGACUUGGAUUCCGACGGAGACAAAUCUAUCGCCGACUUUGAACACCAAUUGGCGCUUCUCACGAAGAAAUUUCGUCGGAACUUCCGAAAGAACAAAGCCAACAAAGCUUAAUCUUCGAAACAAAAAUCUUCUUCUAAAGAAUCUUCAAGUUCAAAAUCGAAAGACAAAAAACUUGCAAAACCUUCUAAAGAAAAAGAUAAUUUUCAAGGGAAAAUUUAAUGUUACAAAUGAAAAGGCUUCGGCCAUAUUUCUUCGGAUUGUUCCACUAAGAAAUUGUACAAAAAGAAGGCUUUGCAAGCUAAAACUUUGGAUGAUUUUACUUCAGAUGAAUCAAUCUCAAGUGAAGAGGAGAAGAAUAAUGUCAUAGCUUUAGUGUCUGUUGGGUGUCGAACGUCUCGAUCCUUAACCCGGUCAAAGAUCCUCCUCGGGAAGCGCGUCGGGAUGCGGAGCGGCUACUAUUAGCGACCCUCGAAGUUUGCGCCCUUCGACUGGAUCAAACGAUUCGGCUGAUGAGGGAUCGGAUCAACCAAGUUUGAAGACCUUUACUAUAGCUCGGUUCGACUGAUGAGCCGAAAAUACAGAAUGCACAAGAUUUUGGGGCGGCUGAUGAGCCAAAUAGAUGGAAUACACAGUGACUAAUCGGCUGAAAGAGCCGAAUGUCUUUAUAUAUUAAACUGAAGUUGGGAACUCAUACAAAACAGAGUGUACCCGGAGGACAUACAGACUCUGAAAAUCUAGAUUACAACAGAGUGUGCCCAUGGGGCAUACAGACUCCAGAGAUCUAACUUAAAAAAUACUCCUAGAAAAGCAGUAAAUGCGAAUAAAAAAGAUUACAUGUAGACUACUCCUAGAAAACGAUAAAUACAGGAAAGGAAAGUAUUAAAAAUGCGGUGGUCUUCUCGUUCAGGGGAGAGAAAGACCCCUAUUAUAGGCUUCAAAGUUACUAUUUAUAAUAUUUUAUCAGCCCACAUUAUUGGCUGGUUAUAGUAGUAGGGGAAGUGGUAUAGCCAUGAUCAUGGAAGUUACGCCCCACUUCUCAUGGAAGUUACGCUCCACUUCUCAACCGUUCCCGCCUAAACGCUCUUGACCUUCAGGCGCCUUAUUGCCGACUUCUGGUGUACCACGUGUCCUUAUUUCUUUGGCUCAUACGUGGGUUAGGUCCGCGUGUUAAUUUUUUGGUAUCAACAAUGUCCCCCCCAAUAGUCUUUCGAAUGAAUGUUUGAAUGACUAUUGGUGCCAAAUCAACGGCUCAAUAACAUAGCCGAGACCCGAGCUUAAUUUCGCUAGUCUUGGUCGGCUUAUAAGAAGCGACUCUUUACCAUCCUAGCCUUAUAUACCUCGGCUUCAUCAGCAGAUUCUUUGCUUUUACUCUAUUGGCUCGGCUCUUCUUGAACCAACUGUUCUUCUAUCAAGGAUUUCUCUUUGAAGAAAGUGGCUCUUUGCCAGCAACGCGCAUAUACCUCGGCUUUAUCAGCCGAUUCUUCACUUUCACUCGAUUGGCUCGGCUCUUCUUGAACCGACUGUUCUUCUAUCAAAGAUUUCUCUUUGCCUUUGCUUUGCUUUUUAUAUCGGCUCCAUUGCAGCGGAUUGUCCUCACUUUCCUUCCGGAAUUGCUCAUAUUGGGCAACUCGAACACUUAGAUCAAAUAGGUUAGAAAAAUACUUAUCUUCAAAAUGGUCUUUUAUCUUAAAAUGCAGAUCAUUUAACGUCAUUUUGGCGAACUCUGAUUCCGGCAUUCUCAUAAAGCAUCGAAUUUUGGCUAUUUUGAAACGGUUCAAAUACUCUUCGACCGUUUCACCUGACUUUUGUCGAUAUACCAAAUAAAUGCCGUUUUAGUUAACGACGUAUUAAAUAAUCGAAGUUUCAAAAAUGAGUCACCGACCGCUUCUCUACAUUAGGCCGUGAACCGGGCUAUAUGCUCGACCGUAUUCUCGGUCUCAUCGCCCGAGAACUUGUCAAACUUCAGCAUCUUCCAGUUUGCCGGAUAUGUAUGAUCUACAUCAAUAUUUGCAGGAUAUGAGAUCUGAACACAGGCCGCAUUGCCGGCCUUGCGCCUACUCCGAACGUAUUUCGGAUGGCUUCUUCAAUCUAUGCGUAUAUUUCGUUAUUGUUCCCCUGCAAAGAAACUUGUGCUUGUACUUGAUUCGGUCCUUGUGGCAGUCCGAAAUUCUAUACGACAAGAUUAACCCCUUGUAUAUUCGGGAUCUACCCCCCAGCCCUAGCCCCUACAUUUUGGGGCUGAUAUGCUGCCAUUGCCGGAGGAGGUGGCAAUCCCGAUGCUAUCUCUGGCUGCUAACCAGCAUUAACAACAGCCGGUCUGUAAGCCGCCUGAAAUGGUGCCCCCUGGUAUUGGGGCUGACUAUUUACCGGUGUUACAGGAUUUUGUAACACCGGUGUCAUUGCAAGCCCUUGUAGGCCUGUUAUAGGUUGCUCAUUACGAGUCAAUAAUUGCCCUAUUCGGGCAAUAUUCUCAUUGGAGGCCGUGAUUGCGACCAACACUGCAUCUAAUCGCGCAAUGCUUCUAUAACUAUUUUGGUCCAAUACUUGUAGGACCCGUGUCAUUUGUCCAAGCGCUUGAGCCAAAUUAGGCUCUUGUUGGUCAGAUUGAACACUAGUCUCACCUUCGACAGGCAAGACCGCUUGACGUUCUGCAACAUUAUCAGAAUUGCUGGGUUGAUCACUCCCGAAAUUUCUAGGAACGACCCUAUUACGUAAAUUUAUGGCGUUAUCAUCAGCCAUGAUUUCAAUAAAAAUAUAAAUUUACCUAAAUUGGGGUCCCACCAGGCGUGCCAAAAAUUGUUGGGUGCCGAACGUCCCGAUCCUUGACCCGGUCAAAGAUCCUCCUUGGGAAGCGCGUCGAGAUGCGGAGCGGCUACGAUUAGUGACCCUCGAAGUUUGUGCCCUUCGACUGGAUCAAACGAUUCGGCUGAUGAGGGAUCGGAUCAGCCGAGUUCAAAGACCUUUACUAUAGACUCGGUUCGGCUGAUGAGCCGAAUGUACAGAAUGCACAAAAUUUUGGGUCGGCUCAUGAGUCAAAUAGAUGGAAUACACAGUGACUGAUCGACUGAAAGAGCCGAAUGCCUUUAUUUAUUAAACUGAAAUUGGGAACUCAUACAAAACAGAGUGUGCCCGAAGGGUAUACAGACUCUGAAAAUCUAGAUUACAACAGAGUGUGCCCAUGGGGCAUACAAACUCCAAAGAUCUAACUUAAAAACUACUCCUAGGAAAGCAGUAAAUGCGGGUAAAAAAGAUUACAUGUAGACUACUCCUAGAAAACGAUAAAUGCAGGAAAGUAAAGUAUUGAAAAUGCGGUGGUCUUCUCGUUCAGGGAAGAGAAAGUCCCCUAUUACAGGCUUCAAAGUUACUAUUUAUAAUAUCUUAUCAGCCCACAUUAUUAGUUGGUUAUAGUAGUGGGGGAAGUGGUGUAGCCAUGAUCAUGAAAGUUACGCCCCACUUCUCAUAGAAGUUACGCUCCACUUCUCGACCGUUCCCGCCUAAACGCUCUUGACCUUCAGGUGCCUUAUUGUCGACUCCUGGUGUACCACGUGUCUUUAUUUCUUUGGCUCAUACGUGGGUUAGGUCCGCGUGUUAAUUUUUUGGUAUCAACAUUGUCUCACACUUCUUUACCUUCUUCCUCUGCUGCUUGUUUAUCCUCAAUUAUUCCUGACUCCACUUCAUUGGUUUUACAAGAAACAUCCAGCGAUGGUAAUGAAAGCAUCGAGGAGUUGGACGAGGAAGAUCUUGUAAAGGCAUAUCAUUAACUUCUCAUUAAAUCAAAAAAGAUGGCAAAGCACAAUAAGAUGCUAAGGAAGCGACUUUUGGAGAUUGAGAAUGACAAUAAGACUUUGGGUGCGUCAAAUAAAGCUCUUGAAGAGGAAAAGGAGUCGAUUUUGAAGAACAAUAAGGUCCUCCAAGAGAAGCUAGACCAAUCAGAAUUAACGAUGAAAUCAUAUCAAGAAAAGGUUGGUUUUCUAGAGCAACAAUUUGAAGAAAUUCAUGUAUCCAAUUAAGUUUUGACCAAACAAGUCCAUCAACUCAAAUCUGACAUUCAAAAAUUUUCUUCCGAAUGAAAGAAGCUAGACCAUAUGCUCGGAUUAAGUCAAACAAAUAAACUUGAGCUUGGAUAUGAGCGAACUUAUGUUGAGAGGGUUCAAAAGUCAACAUCUAAAGUCUCAACAACUUUGAAGGAAAAAGCGUGCCACAGAUAUGGAAUCAAAGGACACAUCAAGAAGACAUGCCCUAAAAGGGAUAAGAAGACUCCAUCCACAUCUUCUAAACAUCCGUCGGUAUCUUCCAGUACUCGACAACCCCCACGGAUUCAAAAGCAACAUCAAUCGAGUCGAGUAUCUCAAAUCAACCGGAAGUCAAAGCCACAACAAAUAGUUAACACAAAACCAAAUGCAACGUGGAAACCAAAGGUUGAUCGGAACACAAAACAAGCGGUGCGUAACGUCAACAAAUUAAGACAACCAACAAUCCGACAAGUUUGGAUUCGGAAAGGUGAUAUCUUUCAUUGUCUUAAGUCUUAAUUUGUUUUGAUUUGUGUAGUGUUUUGAUUGGUGCUCAUUGCAUAUUUUUUAAUCACUGCAUUACAUGUUUGAAUGGUUUUUGUGCUUGGUUAUUCAUUGAAUGUUCUUUUACUUGGAAUUUGUCACAACCAUUCAUUGGGAAAUUAAAAUUUGAAAAGUGCCUUGAACAUCUCAACUUCUCAUUCAUUCAUUUCGAGUUAAAUUCAUAUUAAUUAUCAAUUUUACUCCACUAUUAUUAUCUUUGAAAAUAAUUUAUUAUAGGAGUUCUUAAUACUUAUAUUCAUCAAAUUUAUGUAAUCAUGUGUGAUCUCUUGGCAAUUAACCUAUCUCGGUUGUGCAUGUUGAAUAUGAUGAAUGGUGACUCCAUGUAGCUUGUUCACGCUCUUUGAUGGUCAGAGAUGGUCGGGGUGACUCCGACGAUGGUUUGUGGCACCCAGAGGCUCGUCAUUGAUCCCCAUGCACUUCUAGUUCACUUCUAGAACAUCGACGUUUGGUAAAUCACUCGAAAUCCCAUUAUGUUGCAAUAAUAGAUGUUAUAUAUGCAAUUAUGGUACAUGUAGAGUGUUGUGACGCUUUUCACGCCAUAGGAUGUGUUGGGAAACAAUGUUUAGUAGUUUUGGAUGUCCAGACCAAUCGUUCGAGGUAUGAAAACCUUAUAGGGCUGAAAUAGUGCGAAUUGACACUAGUUGAGGCUUAAUUAGAUCAUUAUCGCACAUUUCGGUUCUGAUUUCUUGGGAUCGGAGCUAUUGUUGUCCAAUGUGUUUAGCGAGCCUCGUUGGCUGGUUUGGCCUCAUGUUUUGUGCCUAACAUGACAGGGAGCGUGUGGUGGGUGGUUCAGAUACCGAAAUAGGCAUCGCGAGACCCACUUUGAGCCACUUUUGGUACUUCGGCCUCUGUUUUGGUGCGUUUUGUUUGCGGCUGUUCCAACACCUAAAUAAGGGUGUUUGGGGACAGCGAGUAUGAGUUAGAGAUGUUUGAUGUGAGUCGGAACACUUCAUGAUCGAAGUGACAUUCCAGCAGGUUUUUACGGAAGUCGAUGGAUUCAGGAGAUCGGUAAAAAUAUUCGAUGUUACAUUUGUGUCGUGGUGCAUUGUGGGUGACUUUAUGUCACCAACUAGUGAUAUUGCAACAUUGUGAGCAUUGUAGGGCCAAUUGUAUAGUGGAUGCGUAGUUUGACACCAAAGUGGUGUUUGGAUCAUCAUAAUGAUACCUACAGGUUCGAUUGUGGCCUUGUACGAUGGUUGUCAUUCAGUUUGGCGAGCACUUAGUGUGCGGUCGUCUCAUCACCUAAAGUGGUACGUUUUGAGAUAGUGUAUGCACUGUUGUGACUCCCUAUAGAGAGUCGGUUAUCGUUGGGUUUAGUUCGGUAAGCCGGUUUGUGGAAUUGAUGUUCCCGUCACGCCAUGGUAUACAUGGUAUAGGUUAAACGUGUCGGAUUGAUAUAGAUAACACGUAGGAUACUCGUUCAGGCAUUUGGUGACUGUAUCUUCUCUACAGGUGACAAUUAGAUACAUCGGUCGAGUCAAAGAAUCAUAUACUUGAUAAGUUGGGUGCUUCAUUCCGAAGUCGGUAAAGUUGUAUCAUACUCGGUUUCCCCCUUGUUUGAUCUAUUCUAUGCUGGUUGAGUAGAACAACUUCUAUUGACUUCAUAUUAGUACAUGCUUUUACUCUACAUGCCUAUUGAGUGUAUGUUGGUUAUCGUAUUAAUGCGUAGUUCCUUGAUUGAUCUCUUUUAUAUAGCUUGUGUGUGACAUGUAGAGUAGGUGGUGAUCUGGGAAGAUAUCCACCUAUUUAUGAUAGGAUCUGAUAGAUCAGUGUUUACUCCUUGUUGAGUUAUGAUCAUAUUAGUCGGUUGAUUUAUUUUCAGUGAGAUUGACUUAACUGAUUGGCGUCUACUCCCUCAGAUUUAACCUAGGGGUCGGAUGACGUAUUCCAUCAUGAUUGGGUCUUUAGCAUGCUCACCUCUAUUACUUGCAUUAUUUUUAUCUUCCAUAUAUACUCAUGUAGUGUAGCAUGCUAGUCAACCCGGAGAGUUUGAUUUCCAAUGUCGUCGUUGACAUCCCUUGGGAGUACCUCUUGGCUUCUUUUGUCGCCUAUGGGUAGUGAUUUUACUGUUGAGUCUAGAUUAUUGGAGCUUUGAGCAUACACAUAUGACUAUAGCUUGUAUGGCACUGAAGGAGUCUUAGACAAGGUUCCUAACUCAGGGUUCUUCAGUUGCCAGCCUAGUGGGAGGUGAUGUUUCAUAGAUAGGGUUCAUCACCUUGAGUUCUCACCCCCAGACUUGAUAUACACUGCGUUUAGACAGAAUUAGCGACUUUGGGUGCAGGUUGAUGUGUCCCUCCGGAGUGGUACUUGAUUUUUGGUCUUCGCGACCUAGUGGGCAAGCUUAGGCCGAGUAUUUAUGACUGGCCACGGUAAUUGGUAUACCUUGGACUACUCACACGUCCAGUUGAUACGUAGUAUCUCCAUUUGAGUUAUGCAUGGUAUCUGGUAGCUAUCUAGCUUACAAUAGUGGCAUCCAUCGUUUAGUGGGUUAUAAUAUUUGUUAUUCAUCAUCUCGCUACUGUAGUUGGUGUUCCUAUUAUGUUGGCAAAUGACUUUGUUUACAGUAGCAGUAUCCCUUGUAUGUUUAUUCAUGACAGUUACUCACUAAUCUUCCUUGCAACGGUGGUUGAUUGGGUACCUCACGGUUAGUAUCUUGAUUCAUGUUACAGUAGCGACAUUAUUUUGUAUUCUGGUUCAUGACAUUUAUCUAUCUAUCUAUGAUGCACUAUAGUUGACUAUUUCAUUUAUGCUCUUAUCUGUUUGUCGUACUCCCUUCUUUGCCAGUGAGUGCAGCUUGCCCUCGUCGGCUGGUUGCCCCCACUGGAAAGCAUAUUUAUAUGUUUCUUACCCCACUAUUUUUACAGGUGUUAUUGACAGUGUGGGUCGGGGCGCAAUGUGAGGAUGUUGUAGUUAGCGCCUAGAUAGUUCGUGCUGUGGAUUUCGAUUCCUAGUAUCUCCUACUUCAUUCUGUUGCUAUUAUGUAGGGAUUUAUGUGAUUGUGAUUUAAGUUUAGUUGCAUUUAGGUUUUCCUAUUUUAGUGGUUUAGUGGAUUCUGAAUUAUAGUUUUGAAUUUAUUAGUAGUUAUAUAAUUAAACUAUCUUGUUCUAAUUGCUUGUGGUUAUGUUUCUGUGCUCCUACGCCGUGCAUGUACAAAGGAGACUUUGUCCCCGUAGACGGAGAACACUCUGUGCGUGUGGCGGGUUUGCGCGUCUCAAGCAAGGUUUAUAAAAAAGAAUUAUACGCUUUUUCGCAAAUCUGUUUUCACAUUGGAAGGUUUCUCAAAAUUAGCUUUCCAAAAAGAGUCUAAAGCGUGAUAGCCAUCAUGAAUGCCACGGGUGGCACCAUGUCAUCCUCAUAACAUGCAAAUACGAACCCACGUCAUCAAUCCGACGACUAUCCAGCUACGGAAGGAUUUGAGUUAUGAUGAGGCUUCGUAUGUGAAGGUACAGAGCAAAAAUCACGAGGAGCGUGAGACUACGUGGGAGCUUGAGUUUGUUAUGCAGGAGCGAUAUCCGCAGUUGUUUGUGGGGGAAAUAUAGUCAAGUUUCGGAAACGAAACUUCUUGUAAGGGGGGAUGAUGUAAUAUCCGAAAUUUUUGCAUUAAGGGAAUUAAGGUUCGAAGCCUAGGAUUCUUCUAGCUUCUCUAGUUCCUAACCGGAUCUGGUUGCUUACAAAGACUCUAUGUCUCAAAAGAGCCAAAUCGACCCAUGAUGGUUUCCAAACAACUCCAUAAACGAUUCAAUAGAUGAGGGGAGUGUUCCGAGUGUGUAUUUUCUUGGUUCAAAUAAACCUUACUACACACACUUUCCUUGAAGAACCUCAACUUCCUCGCAAACUGUUGGCGGGGCUAAAACUGGGAUGCCCAAAGCCCUCUUCCCAUACACUAAAUAUCACUACGAAGUGAAUUACCAAACCCAACACAAAACUAUGUCCUACCUUUCCACUAUCGAAUACGGAGAGCGGUUGACUUCCUAAUACUUUUCUUGAUAGGCUGCGUACUAAACCUUAACCGCCGGCAUCUAAAACGAAAUUUUGAUACCGUAGUAAUAGAAAUACCGCUUGCUACAUUUCAAAUAUGCCUAGUGUUUUUAUGUUUAAAAGUGAGUCUUUCUCAACUUGAACUCCAUCGCUUCUACCAACCUCGAUGAGCUCCUGAUACUAAACUGAUAGGAGAUGACGAGUGCAUUUCGAUUACAUCACCGCCUACGGGAAUCAGCGUUUAGUUAUCUUUUAAAUCGUUACAACUAACAAUGAGUCGGUGGCAAUGAUCGUCUGAACUCUACCAACCUAAACCUCCACCAUCGUGAGCUGUGUGGAAAUUCCAAUUACAGAAACCAGCAAGUUGGAUAGAACUAUCUUUCCUAAUUUCUUUUCGUUCGGGUUCUGAACCUUAACGUUUUCUAAACUAGGUUCUAACUACUACCUGUGCGGCUAUUGAAAAUAAACCUACUAGUUUCUUACGAAACUAAAGUAUUAGCUUAAACACAUGGCCGCCUUAACCUCUAAUGCUUUCUUUAAAAUUACCUUCGAGCGGCUCGUGGGAUGUGCAAUGUACGCCCGCUGUGUUUUUACAUAUUCCUAAAUUUCAACGUUAUAACCACCGGGUCUUACUUUUUUCUACAACCUCUCAAACACCGAUGUACGGAUUGAACAGUUGUCCAUUUUUGACUCAUGGCUGAAGGGCGUCUUUUUAACGUUUCAGAUGGUUAUGAGCACACCUUUAUCCUCUUCUAGUAGUACAUGAAGCAACACCCGAACGGGGUGAGUGUUCGGCCCGUACUACCCUAAAACCACUAGCACCUAUCUAAUUGUUUUAGACGUGUAAAACAAGGAUAAGUGUAAUGAAUCUGUUCUCUCUUCGAACGUGUUCAUAUAGAACUACUCUAACACGCUGAAGUGCCUCACGGAUGUAGAUAACAUAGCCUAGCUCUAGGAUCUAAACAUAGCGUAAAAACUUUUUCAGAGGUACUCUGUAAUCUGUGAGCUGAACUAAAGUCGUGACGUAAGAUGGGAGUCUCACUACCUGUUAGCCUUGCGUGAUAAGUCUAGGACUUUCUAUACGAAUCUCGUAUACAAUACCUGAAGGUUACACCUAUCGUAGUCGUAGAUGGGUACCGCUUUAAACGAAUAUUGUUGUCAAUAGUUCGUUCAUAAUUCUAUUGCGGCAAACUUCGGGAGAUAUCUUCUUUCACGACUAGUGGAGAAGUAACCUCACUCUAUCCACUCUCUACCCAAAACCCGGGACUACACGAUGAUCUUCGGCUCCUAUUUCAAGCAGAACGAGCUCUUGCUGACUAUCGCCGAGUUUCAUCUGUCUUCUCUAUAUGUCUAUUCGCAGUUGCUCUGAACUUUAAGGUUCACCCUCUAGUACAGAAAAACUUUCAGAGUGGCUGUUUUCCUCAUUUCUCUAAACCAUAAGCUCCCUUCAACUCGGGUGUUAAAUAACCUGGAAAACUCUAAAACCUCGUACAUCCGAGCCAUCGCAUAGCCGAACGGGAUGGCGGCUUGGAUAGCCCUCAUGUGUUACACAAAGUACAAAGGUGCGAGGCUUUCAUACAAAAACUAGGUCAAGUAUAUAACCUGAGAUGAGGCCACCUGAAUGUAUUCCUAUACUGGAAACUUCUCGUGGAGCACUCCUAAAACCGAGCACUCCACUUCUUCGAGACCUUAGCACUCUAAGGAAUACACUUUCACAAAACCUCGUUAGUGCUUCUCGCGCUCUGAUGGACCCUCAACCUUUCGCAUGAAGUCCUCGCAAUAAGGGUAGAGAAAGUCUACCUAAGAACUCCAUGAACUCAAAAUCAAAACGCCUGCUUUGAGGAAAAAUCCUUCCCACUUACAUCAUGUGAUUUGAAAUCUUUUAACAUUUUAAGAUCACAUUCUUAUCAUAAAAUUUGAUAAAACCUACAAAACUCCCAAGAGACACACCAAAGACGGAUAAAGACCUCGAAUAAUCCGCGCUCUUGCCCGAUAGCUGUAGUUUUAGACGUUUCACGUCUAAAGUCAUAACUCAUGGCCAUGAUUUCCAACCAUGACCAUGGGACAUCUCACGGCUUUAUCCAACGAGGGCCCAAACUCUAAACCCCACAACUGAUGGCCAUGACUCACAACUCAUGGCCAUGACACCGUCCCAUGGUCAUGACGUAGCGUGCCCAUGGCCAUGUGGCAUAAUUUGGACUUACAGAACGCGAGCUCAAGAUAUACGAACUCCCGGCCCAUGGCUAUGAGGGUAAGCUCAUAACCAUGAGUUACGUCUUUUGACGUCAUGCACGAUAAAUAUUAAAAACUUAAAAACACCCCAGAAUUCCCUUAACAAUGUAGUACAUAUACUGAGGGGGAAAGGGGGUGUACGGAAGAAAACACGCCUCCGAACUCUCUCCACCUCCACCCAAAAAGAGGGAAAGAGAAAAAUCCUAAAGAAGAGGUUUGAGAAAAUCUAAACCCAAAACUAGAGAAAAGAAGAAAAAAACUUACCACCGAUGGAUGAACUAGGAACUUCCUCCGAACCUUCACUUCUUCUCUCGAACAAACUCCUAGAUUGAGAUUAAGAUCGAACCUAAUCUCGAAAGAAAUUCCAAUCAUGAAAAGAACGUUGUAAAUGAACACCUAAAACAUUCUAAAUACCUACUUCUGGAUCAAAACCUUUUCGAUCCUAAAUAAAACCUCAAAGAACUAAAACUUGGAAACCCCAAUUUAUUUAUUAACAUCUUGAGAGAAAAUCCAACCUAAACUUCGAAACAUCGAAGCUAAACCUGAAACCUGUUCAAGAAGAACCUAUUUCUAUAAAAAAGUGGAUAAAAUCUGAAUUAAAAACCCAUAAAGACACCCUCCAAACAAUUUUCGAACAUUGGGAGAAUCUUUAAGAGAAUCCAUGAUCUUCAAACCACCUGUUGAAGCAAGCUUCCUUGCUUUCCCAAGCUUCCCAUAAGCCACCCAAACUGGAGCGGCUUUACCCACUUGAGGGAGAUACAGAAGUUGUAAUAAAAAUCUAGAUUAAUCUACAUAUAAGUACGAUCUAUACUGUACUCUCUUAAAAACUCAUGUACGAAGUAUGUACGAUACAUAUCUUUAAAGAUACGGGAUACUUCAUCUCUGAAUGUUACACUUUUACAUAUAAUUUAUCAUAUAAUACUACUAAACGAGAAUACGUUAUUAUUUUUCGUACAAUCUCUGUAUCAAUCAAUUAAGCCUAAGCCGUUUUUAAGCCAUGCCCAUAUUAAGCCUAUUUUAAGCAGAAGAUUAAAAAUUUAAGCAACUUUUUUUUCCGAUUUUUUGCCUAAACAGUUAAUAAGCCUAUGCACUAAAUAUGUCUAUAAUAUGCAAGUGGUUAAUUUUUAAGCCCUAGUUUUUAAGCCAAUAAUUUAAUUUAAACAAAAGAAAUUUCUAAAUAUGAUAAUCAUAUUUAUAAGUAUAAAGAAUUCUUAUAUUCUUAUUUCUCGAUGUUUUAAUUCAAUUAAUUCAUUUUUUUUUUAUCGUUUGACAUAAUAUGGACUUUUAUUUAUUUAUUUAUUUCGUUUAUUCUUUAAUUCUAUCAGAUAUUUUUUAAUUUUAAAAAACUAUCUCACUAUAAAAAAAAGAAAACCCUCUCCCUUUUACUAAAAAAAAGAAAAAAGAUAAAACACGUUCCACUUGUCCUAAAAAAAAAAAAAAAAAAAAACCCGUUCGGUGCGACCUCGCGAACGCGAACGCGAGCUCACGAGCACGAGCGAGCGCUCGGCGCUCCAGGCGCCGGGUGCGCGAGCACGAGCGCUCGGCACUCCGGGCGCUGGUCGCGGUCGCGCGAGCGCGAGCGCUCGGCGCUCCGGCGCAGAAAAACCGCUCGCUUAUUAAGCCGCGCGCUUAAUAAGCGCUUAAGCAUAAAAAUGGGUUUUUAUGCGCAAAAAAAGGCUUAAAAAGCCUUUUUAUGCUUAAGUAGGCAAAUUAAGCAAAAAAGUUUUUAAGCGCUUAUUAAGCGCUUAUUAAGCGCUUAAUUGAUUGAUACCAAUCUCUACUUACAACCAAAUAGGAUAUUUAAUAUGUAUCACUUGCCUUAUUUUUUCCCAAUUGAACAUACUAUUGGUUAUAUGAACAAUAUCUGUUCUUUUACACUAUACCACGUACCAUCACUGUUUUAUACUUUGAUUCAUACAACAUGAAUUGGAUCAACUUGUUGAUCUUGAACUGUAACACUGUAUUAUAAGCUAGAGAUCUAGCGAUCAACUGUAAGGUAUAAAAUCUGUACUAUUUGCUCUAGGAAUACAACAACUAGUGCGAAAGAACGGUAACACAAGUAAACGUGUUCGAACACUCCCAGCAAAGGGAUAUUCGGCCGUGAGGCCUCAAACGGAUACGCUGUAGUACGAGCGGGCAUCCCUAACCCGUUGCUACUGAUGAUGCCCCGGUAAUCCGUGCCACGUUCGGCCCUGAAAUAGAACGCACACACACACACAAACAUAUGGAUACUUACACUUAAUUUUUUUUUUUCGGCAUGCCAUAGUAUACGAUAUGCCUACCUCGAUGAAAUUAAUUCCACGGUACGUGGAAUUAAUUUCACUAAGUAUUACCAUAAACUACGUAUAUGUAUAGCUCUAGUUAGAGAGAAGCUGAAGAGAAGGUGCACACACAAAGAUAAGCUAGUUUAAGAGAUGAGAAGUAGCUAAUCACUUAGUACUUCCCUAACGAUUGUGGCGGGUCUACCAGGCACUGAGUAGAUCAAACACUCUACUUUUAGCUAGCCCAUAUGCGGCUAAGGCACAUCUGUGCGUAUAUCCGGCCUGUGCACACGCCGAUAUGAUCUUGGAGUUUCGUUACUAACUUUGAAUGUUAUGGUUGGUAUGUCAUUAAGUUCUCUAGAAAAGACCAGGCGCUAUCCUAUAGAUUUGUAUUUCUCAAAAGCAAAUCUAAUUUAAAAACAUAUCAUUGUACUCUUACUAAGCGGCCGUUACCAAACUAAAUAACUAAAAGUCAAUAGUAUAUACUAUACAUAAACCAAAAGCUUUUUAAAAUUUUACGUUUUAAUAGAAGGCGAUGCAAAAAGACUACACGGUCAAUUAAAGAAUAUCUCUCGUGUGUGCACGGGAGAGGGAUGAUGGGAGAAAAUGUGUCCAAGAAUUAGCGCUCUUAGAAUGCGAAUUCAUGAUUAGAUCCUCCUAAAACUGAGAUUCGUUGUGGUUUUGGAAGCUUUUGACCCUUCGUCUUCCUAGAGAUCGAGGGGGUAUACCAGUUUGAACUUAUAACGCCCUAUAUAAACUUCAUCGAUCAUUGAAUGUCGAGAUAACAGCCACCGCUGAGGUCGCUCCUGCUUGUAGUCCUUCUUUCACUACUAUUUGAGCUCCUGCUCUCUAACCUGCAACCUGGGGCAGCCCUAACAGGGCUUCUUCGCCAACACGGGCGACGGCUUGUUGUUUGCGUGGCAAGGCGAUCGCUCACAGCUCGGGUGAUCGACCCGAUACUACAUGUAACCGUGGACGUAGUCAACUUUCGUUAGCGUUUCACUAAUGUUGAACCAACAACUUUCUCAUUCGUUACAAGAUCACGUCGUAUAAUGUUGUUUUUACGACAUAUCGCUAUGAAAAUUUAUAGCCAUGUCCAGUGUUAUGAUGACCGAUUUAAUGGUUAUGAAAAAUUUUCACAACGAUAUACACCCCAGCGAUAUACAUUCCGGCGGAACUACGAACCGUCAGUGAGGAUGUUCCUGAACACCGCCUCCCUGUGCACCACUAGCAUCGAGAGAUGCCAGGGACGCUCUAUGAGUGCCGGCUUGAGGUCGGCGGCCUUGGGAUGGAGCAGCUAACGCCGCCGUCUCCUCCUCUUCCUCUCUACCGUUAGUUAAAAAGAAAAAAAAAAGAAAAAAUAAACAUUAGCCCGGUUCAGCCGAUUCACCUUAACCAACUCAUCUCCUUAAAAAAUAAAGAAUAACCUAACCCAAAAUAUAAAUCCGGAAUCAUCUAAAAAAAUUUUUCAAAUUCGUAUUUACUCUGUAAAUGUGUUUUCUUAGGGUUUUUAUACAGGGAUAUUAGAUUAAGACAACAUCAUAGUGGUCUAGAUUCUGCGCGGUAAAAUUUGUUGAAAAGAUAAUCUUUUUCAUUUUGAGUUUUAAAACAUUUUUAUAAAUAUACUUAUACAAUAUAUCUUUACAUCCUAUUUAAUUGGACAAAGGUACCUUUGGAAGGCGUUCUUCGUUUCCGCUAUCAAUAUCGUCCCAACUAUACCCGCGGUCUAUACACGGGCUGUCUCAUGUGGUGCUGGUACUGCCACUCGGGGGUCUGCCACGUAUGUGGCCCUUUUCAGUGCCGUGGGGGGAACGAGUUUAGGUGCCGGUGGUGCGGCGUGGGCCGCUUUUAGUUCUUUAUACAUGGUUCAUAGAGGCGUUACUAGACGUUUUUUUUUUUUUUUUGUCGCUUUUUUUUCUCUUGUUUACUAAUUUAUUAAAAUUUCUUUACUGUUUGUUUUAUAAUUUUUGUAUAUUUUAUAUAUUUUAUUUUACAGUUGGCAUUACCACUAUAUAUUUAUUUCCUUUUAAAAUGAGGAUGUGGGGAAAGCCCCACAUCCUAUAUGUGCGCUGGGUAAGUUCUCAUUUUACAUGAGGCGAUCAGUGUAGUUACACUGAUCGCCUCAUGUAAGAUUAAAACCUACUUACCUUACAUAUAGUACACUGAUCGCUUCAUGUAGGGUAAGAACCUACCUACCUCACAUAUAGGAUUUGGGAAAACCCCCGCAUCCUGAUCGUAACGAGUGUGUAUUUACACGGUUAUCGGCUUACACUACCAAAAUAAACGACCGGUUGACGGAUAAGAACACAAUGAACUUACGUGAAAUGAGAGCCAAACCGAACCACACGCCAUAAAAACUAACAAAGUUGUAUUAGUCUUUAAUGUAAAAAGUUCUUAGUCUAAUACUGAUUAUAAUAUAAUCCAAACUAACCCAUAAUAUUAUUAAAUUAUUGCCUAAUGACGUGUAUAUUCUAAUGGCAUAAACUAAACAGAAUAUAUAAAAUAAUUAAUACUGUCAUUUCAAAUAAACGUGCGUUUAAGUGAACUUUAAACUUACAUUUAAAAUACAUAUUAAAAUUUAAGUUUAAAAUUUAAAUUUUUAUUUACAACCAAGUUAAAAAUCUAAGUUCAAGAUUAAAACUCUAUCUUAAAAUUUAAAUUUAAAAAAUAAAACUUUAGUUUGAUACUUAAGUUUAAGAUUUAAGUUUAAGUUUUUAAUUCAAGUUAUAGUUUAAGUUUAAAGUUUAAAUUUAAAUAUAAAAUUUAAACUUAAGUCUAAAAGUUAAGUUACAAGUUUUAGUUUAAAUGUAACUAAAACCCAAGUUUGAAUCUAUAGAAUAUAUUUACUCUUUAAUUUAAAACUUAAAAGAAAACUUAAAUUUAAACUCCAUUAACCUCCCACCCCUCUCUCUGGAAACCUUAAAAAGGAUUCAACGCCUAAUGGGUGUUAAUCCGGUACAAACCUACGUAUCAAUUUUUUGAGGUACCUUAAAAAUAAGAUACCAAAACCAGAUUUACUUUAUGCCUUAGGACAUUGAUGUUUUUUUAAGGUGUCGAAGUAAAAAUUCGACAAACCUAUGUAUAGUAUGAUAAGGUGUCAUAAAUAUUGUUAAUUUAAAGAUUUUAAAAUAUUAAGUUUUAAGUUUUGAGUUUUAAGUUUUAAGUUUUAAGUUUUAAAUUUUUAUUUUAAAAUUUUUAAUUUUUAUUUUUAAGUUUUAUAUUUUAAUUUUAAAUUUUAAAUUUUAAAUUUUUCAUUUAAUCUAAAAUACAAAAUUUAAACUUUAAACUUUAAACCUUAAACUUUAAAGUUUAAACUUUAAACUUUGAAAUUUUAAAUUUUGAAUUUCAUAUGGUAAAUUUGAAAUUUAAAACUUUAAUUUUUUUAGAUAUUAAUUUUAAAAUUUAAAGUUUAAAUUAUUAAAUAUUUAAAUGUAUAAAUAUUUAAAUUUUAAAUUUUAAAUUCAAAUUUAAAUUUAAAACUUCUAACUUUUAAUUUUUAAUUUUUAUUUUAAUUUUAAACUUUAAACUUUAAACUUUAAACUCGAAAAACUUUAAACUUUAAACUUUAAACUUGAAAAACUUUAAACUUUAAACUUUCAACUUUAAACUUUCAACUUUAAACUUUAAACUUUAAACUUUAAACUUAAAACUUAAACUUAAAACUUAAAACUUUAAACUUGAAAAACUUUAAACUUUAAACUUUAAACUUUAAACUUUAAACUUUAAACUUUAAACUUUCAACUUUCAACUUUCAACUUUAAACUUUAAACUUUUAACUUUAAAUUUUAAACUUGAAAAACUUUAAACUUUAAACUUUAAACUUUAAACUUUAAACUUUAAACUUUAAACUUUAAACUUUAAACUUUAAAACUUUAAACUUCAAAAACUUUAAACUUUAAAUUUUAAAUUUUAAACUUCAAAAACUUUAAAUUUUAAACUUUAAACUUUAAAUUUUAAAUUUUAAAUUUUAGUUUUAAUUUAAACUUAAAAUUUUAAAAUUUUAAACUUUAGAUUUUAAAAUACAACUUUAAAUUUUAAAUUUUUAACUAUAUAGAAAGCCUCGGGUUUUACCACCUUAAAAAAAGGAAACCAAUUUCACCUAACAUUCAAAUGAGGUAAAAAACCUCAUAUCAUAUUGAUAUGAGGUUUUUAAUGCAGUAAAAAAAAAGAAGGUUUGCGAAGUAUCCUAAUAAAAGGAUGGUCGCAUCGUAUCAAAUUGAUACGAUGCAAAAAUCUCCAUAGGUUUGCCCCGGAAUCAUUACGUUCUACGGGUGAGGGAGAAGGCAUUUAAAAAAACCCAUUAGAAUAUGACCACCAUUAGUUCAUCUUAAUAUAUACCCUACUUAGAGUGUGUUAUUAAAUUUUUCUGAGUAUAAUCGAAAAGUGAUUAGGCUUUGUUCACCUAUGUGUUCUUCUCAGGAAAAACCGUGAUAGACUUCAUUUUUCUUUACGAUUCAAAUGUAAUUUUUUCCUGAACAUUUUAGAUAUUAGGAAGUAGGUCGUUAAAAUUCUAAAUGAUUAAGAAAAAAUAAAAAUCAAAUAAAUUUUCUUCUUCUCAGUAUUCUGAAUGUCUCUUUACCACUUAAAACCUACUCUACGUACCGACAUCCAAAUUAAAUGUUGAGUAAAACCUAACAGUCUGGUCCGUCACGAUAAAUUAUUUUAUAAUAGACUUUCGAUAAUAUAAACCAAGUUCCAAGUACCAAGUGGUUUGUCACAAUAAAUCUCGGACAAACUAAGUAUUAAAAUAUUAUAAAAUUAUUAAAUAAUAAAUAAAUUAAUUUUUAUAAAUUUAAUAAUAUUAAGUUAAAUUCAACCUUUCAAUAAUUGGCACACUCACUUUAUCAUUUUAUAAAAUAUUUAAAAUCCAUCAUCUUUCUCAUUUAAUUUAAUAAUAUCUCUGAUAAUUUUUGUGUGAUUAAGAAUUAUUGUAAAGUUAAAUUUACCAAACUAUUCAAUUAUUAUUUAAACAGUAAAGUUUAUAUUUUAUAUAUUUAAUAUUUAGAACUAUUCAAACACCGUUUGGGUAGACUUGAAUGAAAACAAUUUUAAGUCUUCUCAGGCUUUGAAUUCAAAGAUUAAAAAAAUUUUCUUGUGUUUCUACUUCUACUAUCAAUUACCCACCUCUCUCUCUCUCUCUCUCUAGUUCUUCACGAAGUGGGUGGAAAACAUACUUUACAUGUCUCUAAGGACUCGUUGUAGGAAGCGAAAACCUUUAGAGUAAACAUUAGAGGAGAGGAGGAGAGCGAAGGAGGUAUCGAGAGAGAGAGAGAGAGAGAGAGAGAGAGAGAGAUGGUGGGUUUCUUUCACUCUCUGUGAUUUUUCUCCUAGAUCGGUUUUUCUCGUUGAGGUUCCCAUUCCCUUUUCGGAGUUUGAACCCAAAGAUAAAUAUAAC
rnacentral:lncRNA from 1 species